rnacentral:lncRNA from 1 species
AUUGAACUAAACUAUCUAAUUAGGUAAAAUGGUGGUGGAAUGGAAAAAUUGGACCAAUUAGGAGUUUGAGCAAUAUAAAUCCCUAAUCCAAUAAUUAACUAGAAACAUGGAUAUCAGCCAACCACUUCAUCUCAUUGAAUUGAUAUUUGGAUACUUUUGUCUGUUAUUUUAUUUAGUCAUCCUAGGUGUAGUUUAGUGUAAUUAAUCGUUAACGAUGAUUUUUCGCAAUGUAAUGCUUAGUGAUUAGCUAGCUAGACUUCUUAGUUGCAUACGUUAUCACUGUUAGUAACCUCAUCACCCGAUCUCUCUUUGGUUCAAUCCUCAGAAUACUUUAUGUUCCAUUAUAACAUAUAAAUAUUACAACUGACUUGUCACACGUUUAGUCAAGCCACUUUAAUUUCUGAUAUUUUGUGUAACAACCUGGUUUUGACCCUAAUCGAAAUAGUGGUUUCGGGACCACAAAUCCGAACUAGAAAAAUAUUUUUAAUAUUAUUUUGUGUGUUUAUUUUGUGUGCAUUUGAUUGUGUGAACUUUUUGUGUUUUAAUUUCGUCGUUAAAGUGUCCGAUUUAAAAAAAAGGGCUUAAUCGCGUAAAAUGAAAAUUUAGGGGUAAAUUUAAAAGCACCAAUUUGUUGAUGUCUUUUUAAUUGGGAGGCUUAAAGGUGAAAUUAAACCACUAUAUUGGAUAGUGGGUGGUUGAGGACAAAUUUAACCUUAAUGAAAAUAUAUUAUAUAAUUAGUAAAUAAGGUUAAAUAAGUAAAUAGUUAUAUAUUAUAAUAUAUGAUAAGUAAAAGUAUGAAAAUUAAGAUUAUUUCAUCUUCCUUAGCCGAAUAUUUGAAACAAAAAGAAGCCAUUAAAGCUUGGAAAGGUUCGGCCAUAUUCAUACCAAAUUAAGGUAUGUUUUUGCUUCGGUUUUUGAUGAUUUUUACGUUUUUGAGAUCGUUGCUUUGAAUACUACCCGACCCAUGCUUGAAUUUCUGAUUUUGAUGAAUAUCUUGAGUUAUGCCAUUGAUGAAUGUUUGUGUUUUGUAAUGUUUGAUGAUGAAUAAUGAAAGAUGUCUUAGAUAUUAACAUGUUUUGUCUUGGGAUUUUUGAUGAAUUUGAGUAUUUAGGGCUAAAUUGUGAAAAUAAAUUUUUGAGGGACUAAAAUGUGAAAUAAAUAAAAUGUAUGGACUUGUAUGAAUACAAGGAAGAUUCGGCCUAACUAUAGUGUUGUGAGAUUUUGUGUAUUUUGUGUUUUAUGCAAUAGGGACUAAAUUGCAAAAAGUGUAAAAUGUUUGGGGCAAAAUGGUAAUUUGCCCAUUUAAGUGUUUUUGGAUAAAAUUGAAUGAUUUGAUGAAUAAAAGGGUUAAAUUUGAAUAUGUUUAGAUCGCGAACCGAAGAAAACAGAAUUAGAUCGGGGAAAGUCGAAAGUAAACGAAUAGUCGAUCGCGUCUGCUGAUAUCCGAGGUAAGUCUAUUAGCAACUAAAAGUUAUUAAGUUAAUAUUUAUACAUGUAUACUAAUUGUAUCUUAAGUUGAGCUAUAAAUUAAAGUAUAGUAGUUGAAUAAAUUUUGAAUUGUAGAUUAUUGCAUAUAUCAUGUUCGAAUAUACAAAUAUGAACUUGUAUAAAUUAUUAGAUUAAUUAAAGAUAUGUAUAAGAUAUAUGUAUAUAUAUAUAAGGUUCGAAUGAUUAAAUAAGUAUGCACAUAUAUGUAUAAACUCUUGAAUUUGAUUUGUGAUAUGUAUGUUAUAAUUAUAUAUAUAUAUAUUCGAAUAAGCAUACAAAUAUACAUGUAUGGGUUGUGUAUUGAAUUGAGAUAAGUCAUUAUAUAAGUAUAUGAGGAUCGAUUAUGUAUUUGAAUUUUAUUUAAGGUAUGUACGUUAUAUUGAAUAUGUGAGUUCAAUUAUAUAUAUAUGUAUAUAUAUAAGUAUAGAUUUUCGAAUUAAAAAAAACUAAAAAGGUGAAAUACAUAUACGAAAAUGUAUGAGGUUGAAAUAGUUGUACGUGUAUGUAUAAAUUCUUGAAAUGAAUUUAAGGUAUGAACUAUGUAUUAUUGAAUGAGUGUGGUUUGAAUGGGUAUAAACGUAUGUACAAUUAUUUGUAUUGAACUAAAAGUAUGGAUUGUAAGUACAGAUUGUAACCGGGUUAUGUUUUGCCAAUUUCUUGAAAGUGUGGUUAUAGCUACAUGAAUUAUGUAUAUAUGUUUAAAACAUGUGUAAUGCCAGUAAGAGUUAUAUGAGAAAUUAUUCUCGUAUUUAUGCUAUUCAGGUUAUGUACCUAGCAGGCUUAAUGCCGGUGAAGUAAUUCAGACUUUACGUCUAGCAGGCUUAAUGCCGGUGAUACAUUUCAGACUAUAUGUCUAGCAGGCUAAGUGCCGUUGUACUGAAUCAGGCUUUAAGCCUAGCAGGCUAAAUGCCAGUGAAUCUAUUUAAAUUGUGUGAGAAUAUGCAAUUGAUAUAUCUAUGAUUUUUGAUUAUAUGAAAUCGAUGAAUACAUAAACAUUAGGUUGUUAUAUGUUUGGUGAGUUUACACUUACAUUCGGGUUUUGCAUUGGUUAAACAUAAUUGUAUGGAUUCGGUAUAUACAAUUUAAUAAAGGCAUAUGUACAUUAGGUAUAUGCGAUUGCUGAAUUUAUAAAUGCAUAUGGUGAUAUGUGGUUGUUAAACAUAUAUGUUGAGCCUAUGUGUUUGAUAAUAAAUUAUGUAUGCAUUUGAGAUAUAUAUAUACAUGUACUCAUUUAUAUGUAUAUAUAUAUUCGAAUGUAUGUGUUAGCUAUGUAUUCAGGUAUAAAUUCAUAAUGAAUAUAUAUAUACAAACGAAUAUAAAAUGUGAUUAGUAUAUAUAUAUGUGUUAGAUUUGAAUUGAUUUAAAGCUUACCAUGAGUGUACAUAUAUAUUCGGUUAUGAUAUAUGUAUAAUAUGUAUAUCUGCUCGAUUGUAUACAUUCAAUUGAAAUGUUGUUUGUAUAAUGUAUAUUCAAUUGAUUUCAUUCGACAGGUAUACAUAUCUGAUUAUAAAUGAAAUGGUCUGAGUACAAUAAUGUAUGAAUGUUAGUUGGUCGUGUUAGUUGAAAUUUUAGUAAAAUAGAUUAAAAGGUUAUAAUAUUUAUAUAUUUAUAUAUAUUUAAUAUUGCUGUAGACUUACUAAGCUAUAAAAGCUUACUUCGUUUGUUUUCAUUCAUUUGUUUUAUAGAUUUUGGAGACGCGUUACGAGCUCGAGGAUCGUCAGCAAAGUUCAUCACUCUAUCUACUAUUUCGGUACUUAAAUAUUUGAACUCAACUUAUGGCAUGUAUAGGCUGGACGAGGUUUUGAAUGUUACAUUAUAAAUUUUGUAUAUGAAAUUAAUAGCCAUGCGAAAUGUCUUAUUUCCUAUGAUUGAAUUUGGUUUCGUUGCAUAUGUUUUUAAAAAAAAUGGUUGUGUUUGUUCGGUAAUGCCUCGUAACUCUAAUUCGGCGACGGAGACGGGUUAGGGGUGUUACAUUUAGUGCUGCUUCUCUGCUCUGCGCUCGUAAGUUGUGUUGUGGUCAAAAAUAUAAGAAGCCUCGGAUAAAAUUUACAGUUCGCCUCAUUUUUUCGUGGCAAAUUUUACCAUAAGAAUAUGAAUCUUGGAAAAUUUGUGAUUCAUGUCCGAUCUUUUCCAACAUUUUGAAAACUGUUUUAUAUUCGGUGGUAGAGUUUUCUAUAGAAUGAAGAUUGAUAUGGAAAGGUUUUCAUAGUUAAAUUUCAAGCAGAAUAUUUGCAUGUUGAAGAGAAGAUCGUUGAUGUUAAAAAUCUAAAGUUGAAAAAUCGACCCAACAAAAUAAAUUAGUUCAAGUAAGUAAAUAUGGUGUCGUUGUUUGAAUUUGGUUAAUGAGUAUUUUUUUUGUAUAAUAUUUUCGUUUUAAAUGAAUAUUAAGCAUGUGAAACAAGUUUGGUUGGUGAAGAUGACUAGACAAAUUAAAGUCGUUAUUUAUUACGAUGGUCAAAUUUACGACAUCGAAAUUUGAGUCAUUUUUGUAUUAGCCCAAUCUACAGAAUUGACUUUCAAUUGAAGCAUCAAAUUGAACAAGCUUCUGUUAAGAAUUGAAAGGAAAUUCUUGACUUCAAGUUAGAGGAGAAUAAUUGAGUUUGAAAUACAAAUAUCUAACAUCAAUGAACCCUGUUAGAUAUGAUACAUUUGAGCUCAAAGGCAUCACGGCUAAGAGUUAAUGCUUGAUAUACAUUACUCAACUGGAUGUUAUACUAGAGUUAUAUGCCUCGUUUGUUGAUGCAGAAGAAGGUGUUCUGAGUUUGACAAUAGUUCUAGUUAAUUUGUUUAAAGAAUAGGAAGCAAAAAGUACAACCACACGGUUGUGCGAUGGUUUCACUGCGUUGUUGAGAAGCUCGUAUUAGGGAAUGUUGGAAUCAUUAAUGGGAAUGCAUUCCUCGAUUCCAGUCUUCGAUUUCAACUUUGGUGUACAAUUGGGGUUAGUUUGUAACCUGAAUGCAGAAACCUCGGCAUGAUAUUUUGUGAGUGCAUUUGAUUUCAACUUCAAAACGUUGAUGUCCUAUGCAGGAAACAUGAGUAUUGUAAUACCCCAAACCCGGUCUAGACAUUAUGAAGGUUACAUCGUUACAUAAAAACAUUAUCGAUUAAUUUUUGAAAACAUAAGUAUUUAGAAAAUUAUGUGUGUCCUUUGACAAAAACUGCUUUUUAUUUAUUUUAUUAAAAUAGACCCAAUUGCUUAACCACUUGCUUCGUAAAACAUUGUAUCCAAUUUCCAAAACCUUGUAGCAAAAAACAUUUUAGUAUUCCUAAUUUAUAAAAUCUUAGUAUUUCGUUAGUUAUGUCGUCUUGUUUAAAGAUACCAAUUAUAAGUAAUAAAUUUGCAAAAAAGAACAAAAUAAUUACAAAAACCAAAAUUAAUGUCCCAAAACAAAGUUAACAAUCUGAAAGUCCAUAAUUAAAUCCCAAAACAUGCUUGAACCGAAAAGUCUAAACCGAGCUCCGAAAUUGCCGCCCAAUCCUUAGUCUGAGGAUCACCUAAUAUGAAUCAAAACAAACGAGUUAGCAAGAAGCCUAGUGUGUGACUUGGCCUACAUGCAGAAUAUUAAUAUGUUUACAUACGCGAACAUUAGAACAGAAUUUUCAUAUUUUCAGAAACACCUAUAUCAUAUCAGAGCAUAUCCUACCCUUAUCUACUACACACCAUCUCUGUCCAUCCAAUCACACCAAUUAGGACUACAAGAGUCCAUCCAUCCAAUCACACCGGUAUGUGCAGUAUGUCACUCAUAAAAGUGCAACUGAGUUGCCAGUCAAAAAUUACAGUUUAACCACUAGAAUUGCAGUAAUACUGCCAAAAUACAUUUCCUUCAUCAAAUCAAAACCCACCCCAAUGCAGAUGCAAAAUCUUAUUAACAUACAUAUAAAUCACAUGAAUUACAUGGCAUGCAUACCUAAACAUACUUUCACAGAUAAUACCAUAUCACAUAAAUUAUUCAAAAUUAAGCCUACUCAACAUACUUUCUAAGCAUACUCAUGUGUAACAUACCGAAUUUUACGAUUUUGUAGGCCAACAGAAUGCCCACAGAUCUAAUUUUAGAGUCCCUUAAUCGGCCCCUAUCGAGCCUUCAAAUUGACUAAAAAGGGCCCACACAGCCUACCUAUUCAGGCUAUGUAAUCACACACGCCCAUGUGCUCCACAUUGUCUGGUACACAACCAACCACAUAGCAAUGUGGUGCACACAGUCUAUUACAUAACCUACUACACGACCAUGUGAUACUGGAAAGUUUUAAAAAUAGCCUCUAUUUUCGGGUUUUUCUGAGUUUCAGUCAAGGUUUCAGGUUAGUUUCACACACCUAAUGAUAGUUCUGAUAAAUCAAACAAUAGUACACUCCAAAUCCUACAUACAGUACCAAAAACAUAUCGAUUACAAACAUAAAUUAACCUAAAAUUUCACUUAAAUACCCUCCUUCCCCUAAAAGAAAACAAUCCCAAAAUGACAUUCGAGUACUUACUUCACAGAAACAGCAUCCAAAUCAGCAAUUACUUUGUUGGAGGAUUUCGAUUCUCACACUCUUCACCUAAUCAGAAACCACACGAACACUUAUCACAAUGCAGAAUGAGAAUAACACUAACACAACCCCACCUUGCUCAAAGAAUGGAUUAAAAAAAUCAAAAAAAUAAUUCGACAAAACUUACACUACAUUCAAACCAUAAUCCAAAAGCAAAUACCACGUACAAACACUAAAAGAAAGUGGACGGCAACAAGAAAAAAUUAACAGCAAAAGGAAAAAGAAAGAAAACUCAAAGAAGAGAAAAAAAUAAGAUAGUAGAGAAAAAACAAUAGAAGGAAAAGAAACGUGAAAGAAGUGGUGGUGAGUUGGACAGUUGGAGUUGGGAGUAAAAUUAGGGAUUUUUUUUAAUAAUUCCAAAAAUAUAAUAAGAAUAACUUAUGCACAUCCUAACCCACCAGAUAUUAUAAAAUUCAAAUUGAAUUCCAACUCCAACAAAUAGAAAAUAACAAAAAUAUUUCACAUUUGUACACAAUAAGAUUCGAACACAAGACCUAAAGGUAAUUUGAAGCCUUACCACUAAACCAACAGGCUUAUUCUUAUCAAAAAAACUCGCAAAAUCAAAAGGUAAGCCCUAAAAAUCAAGUUGGGCAUAAUCCAAAACAAGGGAAUCGAACUCAAAACCUAAAGCAAACACCCAAAGCACUUAACCACCAAACUAAAUCAAAUUACUUAACAUAUUUUAACAAUCCAAUAUUAAGAAAAAUUAGGGCAUUACAGGUAUGCCAUCAAGUUACACGAGUGGGAAAUCCAUAAGUAAUAUUGGUUUUAAUGUAGGGUUGACAAGAACAGAUUAUGUUCUCCCUACAACCUGCACUCACGAAGGGACAUCCAAUCUGGUACACGAAAUCGAAACUAGGAUUGAAAACAAAGAUAAAGUUGAAACCAAUUAUGAUCUAAUAUGGGAGUCAGGCCCAAUAGUCGAAAUUGCAUUAUUUUCUAAACCAAUGGUCAUUUCUACUGAACAAAAUGGAAGUGGUUCUGAUAGUAAAGGUCUGAAAAAUAGUGGAGGAACCCAACUAGAUUUUAUGGCAUAUGAACCCUCACCCUACAUGCUUCAUGUCGACAUUGAUGCUCAAGAUGGGUCAGAAUUUUUAGAACUUCCUCAUAAAGGAUUUGGCCGUGCAAGUUCUUCUGCAAAUUUCAGCGAUUCACAAGUUGAAAUGGAGUUUUCCUCCAAAGAUGUUAUUGUAGUGAAAUGGUAUAGCAUAAAGCAUGAGGUUUAUUUCCAUGUUACAAAAUCACAAGUGGAAAAGUAUAAGGCAAAAUGUGCAAUGCGUGGUAGUAGAUGUCCCUAGAAAAUCAUGACAUUGGCAAGAAAGAAGACAGGAUUCUGAACAGUAAAGAAAUGUGAUGCUCCAUAUACUUGUGUUGUUGCAAGUAUGUCAUAGGAUCAUCCAAAAUUUUGGAUUUUGACAUUGUCUUACCUAUAGUGAAAGCAAAUCCUAGGAUUCUCGUAAUGAUUUUGAUUGUUAACAUUUGUAGUUAGUACAAUUACAAUGUGUCAUACUACAAUGCAUUGAUUGUAAAAUAGAAGGCAAUGGAAAAAAUUCAUAAAGUAGGAUAAAACAUAUAAUGAUAUGUGGCAAUGGUUGAAGGUAUUGGAUUAAUACGUCCUAGGUACCAUCAUCGAUUUGUAAACUGAACCUGCAUAUCAUGGAAAUCGAAUGGUCUAAGGAAAAAGAAUUUUCCAUCGUCAUUUCUGGAUAUUUAAGCCAUGUAUUGAAGCAUUUCGGUACUGUAAACCAUUAGUCUAAAUUAAUGGUAUAUUCAAGUAUAAGAGAUAUAAGCAUCAAUUUUUGUUAGUCGUUGCACAGGACAAUAAUAAAAAAAUCAUGCUUAUAGCUUUUUCAAUUGUUUAACAAGAAAUUAUGGAUGUCUUGGACUUCUUCUUGACUAACUUGAGAAAGCAUGUCAUGCCAUAACCCUGUUAGAUCUGGUGCCCUAUGUGUAGUAUUUUCAUCUAAGUACACUUGUAAUUUUUUUGAACAGAUUGGUUAAUAAAAUUGUUCAUGAAUUACAUUAAUACUUUGUAUAUUUUCCUCACAUGGUUUUUGCACGUAAAGCAAAAUGGAAGCAAAUUUUGCUUAUUGGUUGUCUAAUGUUUAACUAAUACUAAAUGGUAUUACGUGGUCGGAUCGUAGUACAAAAAAAUAGCUUGUAUUAGUAUACGAACCUAAACAUGUCCUUAGUCUAAUUAGAAAUGAGCAAAACGAUUAAAAGACUGAUAUGUCAUCUAUCAAGUCCAAUUGGGGAGAUGUUUUGUCUUGGGCAUCAGAGCGAAUGACUCUCAGAAGAUAAAAACAUAGAUGUAACUAGCUAGACUUACAGUAUAUCGAACAGUACCCAAGCAGAAUAGAUUUUGAAUUCAUUUGUAGAUUUAUUCACUUGUGAUGUUCAUAGUGUAGCAUAUCUAAAUCCUCAGUGGUUGGCGGACUAUGUAUGUGUGACUCAUACACUUUGAUGUAACUAAAAGCCUAAGUUCAAAUAGAUAGGAACUAAAAGUUGGUGUGUUGGGUAUACGACUAUCGUAGUAUGUAACGACAUUCACGACAGUAGACUUCAUAGCUCAAAACAUGGGUAAAUGAUAUCCUCUAUUUGGCAUUACAUGGUUGAUCAAAAGUAAACGUGGUCACGUGUUGUCCGUCUUUGUGACGGAUUCGAGAACUUAAUUAUGGAUAACUUGAUCACUAUUUGAUAUGUCCAAUUAGUCCCUCCGCUAUUUGAUUUAUAAUUAAGUUCCUGAUUUAUUAUUAUUAGGCAAAAAUUAGGAACUUAAUUAUAAAUCAUUUGAGCAUUAACUACAUAUGUCCAAUUGGUCCUUUCGCUAGCUCGUUGAAACCAGAAAUGAAUUGCAUGUUUAAAUAUAAAUGAACGGAAUGAAUAGAAAAAGAGAAAUAGGAAACAUUCAGAAAUAAUUAUGGUUUUCUCCAAAAUGGAGAAAUAAAAUCAUUUGGAAAUAAAUGUAGGUUUCCAAAAAUGAAAAUGAAAAUGGAAACGAAAACUUGUAAUCCUAUAGGAUUACUUAAAAAAUUAUGGAAGAAUUAGUUUAUGUUUUUGGACUGUUUUGAAACUCGAAAAUGAAAAUAAAUCAUUCGGUCAUAGUGAACAUGUUGAGUUGUGACAUACUGAACAAAAUUUCUCGAAAUUUUACUGGGGGUAAAAUCAUCAAAAUUUUACCGAGGUGAAAUUGUCAAAAAUUUUACUGGAAAAAUUUUACUGGAGUAAAAUUGGGAUGAGAAAAUUAUUUAAUAUGUAAAUAUUAAAGUUUAUUUUGGGAAAUAGAAAACUAAAUUAGGUUGGAUCGUAUUACAUAGUAUUGGGUUAAAAAGGCCUAAGAAGUACUUGUAAUUAGACCCGAUGUGAGAAAUGCCCAAAACCCCUCAUAUAAAAUGAAAGGGGCGGCAACCCUAGUAAAAAUACAAGGGUGGGUUGUUCACUCUUCUCCCACUCUAAAUAAGAUGUUAUUUUUCUAUUUAAAAUAAACAUCUACAACUCUAUAAGGGUUCUACAUUCUCUUCCUAUAAAUAGAUGGCACUGGUAGAGCUAUUUACACAACUUUUGAGAUAUUGUUAUUCUGUCGAAAAAUAAUGAGAAUUUAUUCUCAAUUUUUAAAUAUAUUUUUCAAGAAUAACAAUUUUGUCGGUUUCUUUUAUAGAAGAGAGAGUUUCCAUUUUCACCCUAAAAAGAAAAAUUUUUCUAGUUCUAUAUUUUGGUUAAAUUGGUUUGAGCCCACAUUCGAAGUUGUUCGUGGUACGAGAAUAGCGAAAAAGAUCGUUUGGUUGAAAGCCGAAAAAUAUCAAGGAUUCGCAUAUCAAAAAAUACAAAUGCGUAUUCAAUUAAGGUUUAUUGUUAUAAAUAUCACAAAUUGGAUCUAUUUUCAAAAUUUUAAUUUUCUGCUAUGCAAGAAAACCGUUUUCAAAUCGGGUUUUUUCCAACAAACUGAUAUAUGCAUCAUUUCUGAUAGGACACCCGAAAUACAGGUUGCAAUUGGUCAACAUGAAAGCCUAUGAAAUCGUACACACCAUAGGGAUUGUAUACAUCGUAUCAUGGCAAAUUACAUGGGUCAAUUCCACAAAGAUGAGGAAUGAUGAUAUGUUAUUUACAUGGGUAUGUAGUAAAUAUUCAUUUUUUAGCAUAUACAUUGUUUGCAUUCAUGGAUAUUCUUUAUUUUCUUCGACAAGAUACGAGCUAUUCCAACAUCGAUUCCAUGAAAUGUUGAAAAAUUUGCAAGCAAUAAACACAAAAGGUAUUGAUUACCUCGACGAGAUACCUAAGGAACAAUGGACUCAAUCAUAUGAUGGAGGUCUAUGAUACGGGCAUAUAAUAAAGAACCUAGUGAGAUGCAUAAAUUCCUUUUUGAAUGGGGGGACGUGUCAUUUGUCGAUAACAUCGAUGGUGAAAGAAACACAUUUCCACUUUUCAAACUUGUUUCUGAAGCAAGCAGAAAAAUAUGUUAGAUAAGGGGUUGACACAUUUGGUGCGAGGAAAGAUAUGGUAGAAAAUGCAACAAGGGUGGACACUAUGAUGGUAGUGUGUCACUCACACACAAAUGAAAUAUUUCAUGUUACAGCACUUCAUUUUCUAUGCACACAUUCAAUUGCUACAUGUCUCGGUAUAUAAUCUAGUAUGAUCCCUCGAGGAGAUUUUGUCCCCACACUAAAAGCCAUGUACAAUUCAUGAAUGGGACGGCGUCUCAACCGUACUUGGAUGUAUAGCCACCGACCACCCACCAAAAGGCAAUGUGAACAUCUCAAAGUUGGUGGGAUUCAAACCCCCCAUAACCUAUGCCAAAUAGAUCAAUAGUGGAGUAUAUGGUACCACUUUAGUCAACUCCACUUAUUGUCAUAUUGUCAAUAUGAUGUGAUAUGUUAUUAUUCAAUUACUUUUGAUGCCUAAAAAUAAAUUGCACUUUGUGUAUAAUUUUUCCAAAUAAAACUCUGUCGUCUUAGUAAUCAGAAUAAGGUUUGUUUUUGGUUAAGUGGGUGAAGUUUUUUGUAGGGUUAGAAUCGAAUUGCACUAAACGGUACAAUCAAGAAUUGGGAGACUAAUCCAUUCAAUACAUUAUACGAAACCGUUUAUUAAAUGAAUGGGUAGAUUUUAGGGAUAAAAUUAAAAAGAAAAACCUACUUAGUUUAUACUCUUAAUAUUUUUAACAGGACGAAAUUUGAAUCUUUGGCCUUAUAGUCUCAUGUUAAAGACAAUCAAAUCAAAUUAUAUACUUACUAUUAUCAUCUUACCCAUUAUCAUAGUUUUUACUCAAAAACAAGUAAUAGUGAAUGGAAUACUCAUUAGUUUAGUGUGCACAGCGAAGUAUAAAUGAUUUUUACUCCAAACAAAACGUACAUAAUUUUUCAAUCAAUUAAUAAUAAAAUAAUUUAAAUUAAAUUAAAUUAAAUUAAGAUACUUUUUUAUUUAUAUUUUUAUAGAUAAACGUUAAAAUUAAUAAUUAAUAAACAUAUAUCGACUCAUUGCCGUUCACAUCCAAGUACUUACUACUGAUAACAAUUAAAACGUUCACAACAUUCUUCAGUUGACCAUCGAAACCAACACUAACUAGAUUGAAUAAGAACAGGGUACAAGUUCAGAUUAUUGAACAGCUCCACCAAACUGUUAUAUAAAUGUUAGAUUUAAACACAAUACACACUACUAACCAUAAAUGCAUGUAUUUCUCGCAGGUUCAAAUCUCUCUCCCCACAACUAAAAAUAAAAUGUUUUAUAUCUCAAGUUCAUCAACUCUCCAGCUUAGCAGGCAUGUGCCCAGAACCUGCCACCAGGCCCGUUCUCAUAAGAAUAUAAACACUCUAAGCAGCGGAAAAAAUGUAAUAAACAAUAAUAUUGGGAGAUAAAAGCCAUAUCACUUAACCAAAAAAACUUCAUUAACUUAUGUUACCCGGACUCUUCAUUUUCACUAAAAUAUCCAUCUCCUACAUUUAUUUGGACAUGGUAGAGUAUGACCCUUCAAUUUAUAGAAAGCUUUUUAAAAAAAUUGGGUCUACCCAAGUCGGAAACAAACAAAUAUCCAACACUCACCCAAGUCCAGGUAACAUAGACACAAGCUCCGUUUUCUCGAGUUACAAACAAGAAGCAAAAACUUUAAGCUCUUACCUUCCUCUUGAGAUCAUUGCGCAUGCCAAAAUCCAAAAAUCUACGGAUUGCAGAAGACAAACAAGACAUAGCACUUUCUCAUGCUUAUGAUCAUUCUGCAUCCAGAUCUGCAACUCCCUGAACUAGCAAUUUUCCUAGAAACAUUGCUAUAUACAUAUACCACUGAAAACCAAUAUCGAGUCAACACAAUAACGGUAGACGACUCGAUGCAUCAAUUCCCAGCAUCAUUAAGAUAGUGCAUGCCAAAACUAGCCAUACAUUAUUAUACAAUAAAGUUGUUACAUGAUUAAAAGGAAAUGCACCAUUGGCAGUCCAUUUCUCUGAGGAUUAAGCUGAGGGAAAGUUCGGUAUUUCAUUUUGAAGUUCUUUUUAGAGAUGUUUUCCAAGGUAUUCCCUUGAGAAUUUGAAGUAGGAAUGCAAAUGACAACUUGAUUAAUAAACAUUAAUCAGCUCAAGGACUACUGAGAUGCUUUAGAUGUUAAUAAUAUAUAAUAAAAAUGCCUGCAAACCAGAUUGUCUUCUGCAAUACUUUUCAGGGUAAACUGGUUAAGUUCAGGAUAAGAUCCAACCAUAAAUUCAGACAACUGAACAAUUAAGAGAGAAAGCAGAAGACAAAUUAUAAACCAGGCACUUGGUACAACAGUCAGUGGAUGGAAGAAGCAACAAGGUUUUGAACGACUAAACAAAUGCAAAACUACUGAGCAGAAAAGACAUCAAACAAAAAAGGAACUGUAAGGCAGCAACAGGCAUUUCCGGCUAGCAAGGUUCUUGGGAGCACAUAUUAUAGAGCUUGGUAUUUUGGUAGCAUGGACAUGGCAAAUUUCAAAGAAAAUAGUAAUAUCUCCACAUAUAUUUGGUCCUUCUAGGUAGUAGCAUCAAGGUGGGCCCUGGUUCAUCUGGUCUUCCGGUUUAGGCAGGCUUCAUCAAAGUAGGCACUAGGCGGGCUUCAGGCUUCGUAAAUCUCAGCUGUUUUAAUGGGAAUGGAUAGGCAACAAAGGGAAAACAAGUGCAUCAGAACCCUAAAUAUGGAGAUAGGAGAGGCUAUGUUAUCCAACUGUCAUACACUAGUAUGUACCGGUCCAAUCAGAGAAUUGCCAGUUAUAAUAAUAGACAUAACAGAACCAAAGUAAAACUAUAGUCUGUCAGCACGUACCAAUCAAAAAGAAUUUAGUAACCAUAGUUUUUGCGCCGGGAAACAGAGUUAUGGCUGGAUAACCUGGUAAGAAAAGUUGGUGAGGAUUGUUGCAGAAUCCUAAGAGAGUAAUCAUAUCUAAUCAAAACUAAGCAUGUUGUAGACAUGCUUGGGGAAGGAUAAAGUGGCAUUGUUACCCUUGAAGAAAACUUUUAAGUCAUGUAGUUCACAUAUUUAAAUAUGAUGCUUAUAAUAGUGCAAUGCUCACUCAUCUCAAAGCAUUUCUCCUGUAGUAGAUGAUAGUCAUGAAUAGUAAUAUAGGCAACAACAAAGACGUUCCUUUUGAGGAAAGAAAAUUUCUCACCCAGAGGGACCACUGCGUCCUGAUGAAUAACCUCCAUAAGCUCCAUAAGCACUGUUACUAACACCAAUCUAGAAAUAUAUAAAAAAUAAUGAUUACUCAUGUGCAGUGCAGUAAGAGGAGCAAUAGGGCAGUCACAAGAGAACUAAUAAAAGGAUAACGUGAACAAGGCUCAUGAAACAGUUAAGUCCUCAAAAGAAAUACCUGGGGAGCACCAUAAGUUCCAUAGCUUUCACUAGGAGCUAAAUCACUGCUGCCAUAACCACCAGAAUAGGUAUGCCCCCGUCCAUGCCUCUUGCUCUCUCUACUUUCAUAACUCAAACUAUCUGUUCCCUCAGUUGGCAUAGGGAGAUAUGGUAAAACUGGCACUAAUGGAGAAACAACACCUUCCCUAUCAAAAAAAUUUGCUCUUAGCCGUGUUGUUAUUUGUACAAGGGCAUCCUUCGCAACAUCAAGGUCUCCAGCAAUCUGAUAAUAAAAAAACAGAGAUGUUCACUUUAUGCAAGUAUUAACUAAAACAACUAUGAACCAACAAAUACAAAGUAAUGAUUAAGAUAAUACUGUCAAAACUAUAGAAGUACUUCACCUGGACCAUCUCAUCAUCUUCAGAUGCAAUCUUAGGAAGGUUUUCCUUAGACAAGAUACGAAUGUUAGCUUUUGUCAUCCGCCUCAUCUCAGUUACAAUAGAUCCUCCUUUACCAAUAAGGCAGCCAAUACGUGAGGUUGGCACAAGUAAACGGGUUGUGAAUGAUAUAAUUCCGGAGUCUCUUUCAACCUUCUCACUGCAUCUUGGUUGCAACCUUGCAGCAGCUUCAAUAGUAGGUGAAAAUGUAUCCUCAAAAAACUAAUACAUCACAAAUUUUGGAACACUGUCACAAGCCUAGCACAAGGCAUAACGUAGAGGAUUUCUAAAGAAAUAUAAUCAAAGUUAAAAGCUGACCUCCUUGGCUGAUAUUGUUAUUAAGCAAUCAUCUCCAUCGCUGCUUGAGCUAUCAACUUUAAUGACUGCACCAGAUUCCUGCCUGAUCUGGUUGAUUAUUGCACCACCUUUGCCAAUUACACCUCCAAUAUUAGCAUUCGGACAAACUAUACGAAGGGAAAAUUCUUUUGAUGAUCUCUCAUCUCUUGGAGCAGAGUACAAUGAGCGCGGCCAUUCUCCAGCAUCACCUUUGUAUCCUCCGUAAGGACCCACCAAUGAAGCUAAUGGUACAAUCGGAGCACCAGCAGCAGGACCAAGCAGUGCACCACCAGCAGUAUAUGCAUUGGACAUGGCAGAAGCAAGCAAGUGCUGAGAUCGUGAAGGAUUCUCAUGAAGGCGAGAUGCAAUUUGAUGCAGAGCCUUCUUCACAACUGCAGCUUCCCCAGAUAUCUAAAGCCAAAAAUACAUAUAUAAAUAUCCAACUGUAAGAGAACAUCAUAAACAGUAUAACCAAACAAACAAAAAAAUUAAAAAGAAACAAAAACUUAGAACAUAUUAGAAUUAUCUAGACAUCCCAAAGAAUAGAGACAAAAGACUUCAGUACUAAAGGCUGAAGUUUAAAAAGUGUUGAAUUUGUCAACUCCGUUACCGGAAAUGUUUACAGGCCCCUGCAGCCCUGCCACAGUAAAAAGUCCUUGUAAAUGCCCUCAAUAUCAAUGUAAGACUAUGGCCCGAGCUUUGUUUUAGAGGGAAGGGGGGAUUGCAUAACAAAUCAGAAUCUAUCUAAAAAUGCAACCUCAACUAUCAAAAAGUAAAAUUACCUGUACAAGUUCAUCCGUGGGCAAGGCACAAGAAGGCAAAUCAUCCUUAAGAAUGCGGAUCUGAGCACCAGUUUCACUGCGUAUGUUCUGAACAAUCUGCCCACCCUUUCCUAUGAUACAUCCAAUCUGAUCAGAAGAUACAAGAAGCCGAGCAGUGAUUGGGUGGCCUUCUGAUUCUUCAUCACCAUGCAAAUCUUCUGCAACAACUUUGUCAUGCACCCGGAAUAAAGCAUCUUGAGCAGGAGAAACAAAACUGUCACCAUCUUCAACAGCAUUUGUCUCAUCCCGUGAGCUGUAGAUAGUAACCACUCGCUCCUCAGAACCAGGAACUGUCUCACCAAUUCUAAUCUUUGAUUUAGUGUCUACUCUUAAUUGCUUCACAAUCUCCCCUCCCCUUCCAAUAAUGCUUCCUAUCUUUCUUACAGGGCAUAAAUACCUAUAAACAGUAUCUUCCGAAUCAACAAUAAAUUGCUCCCUGUCAUCACCAGCAUUUCUCCUUUUAUUUGCUCCAUUAUCGGGAUAGUCAGACUGAGAACGAGCCCGCUUCCCAUAACUAUUUCUCUGACCAGCCAUAUUAUCAGCAGAACAAUUACCUGUUUCAAAGUCUAUCAAAAGCUUAUUUUCACAAAAAAAAUUAUGUUUGAAUAAAUACUAGAAUUCAACCAUUUGAUCAUUUUUAGUCAAAUAGGAUUUUUUUCAGAAAAUUCAAGUGAAAGCAAAUAGUAAAACUAUAUUGAAAACAGUGCAAUUAAAUAAAUCCUUAACACCCCCAACAACUUAGCAUUUCAACUACACAAAUUCAAAUAUGACCUACUAAUUCCAACUUCGACCUACAAAUUUAUAUUCUAUAACAAACUAAACUCCUGCUUCUAAUAACCCAUCCUUAAUAUGACAUAUAAUGAAGAAAAAAGCAAUAUCUCAUAGAUUCUAUAACAUAAAAAAGAAUAUCAAAUCAAACCCAAAAAUUUCAACACCAUGCAUAUAAAUGGUCUUCCAAAAUUGACCAGGAAAAAAAGAAAACAUUUUAUCUAUUCAAACCCAAUAACUUGAACCCAAAAUCACCCCCUCCCCCCCCCCCUUCCCAAAAAACAAAAAGAUUGCAUGCAAAGAUAUUAUAAAUAACAGCAGAAAAAACACAGAUCUGAUAAAAAAAAGACUCGAAGUAAAAAUAAAAAUAAAAAGAACAGAAAAAUCAACAGGCAAUAAUGUAAAUAAAGGGGAAAUAAUAAUAGGCUAAAGAUGGGGGUUUUACCUGACAAAUGAAAUCGAUCCUCAGAGAAGACUAUGAGUGUUUAGACACGAAAAAAAGAAAAUAUUUGUUACGCCUAGCGUCUCCUCUAUUUUUGAUUGAUUCUAGGGUUUUGGUUGACCCAUUCUUGCUUUUAUUCUGUUUUCUAUAUGCGUUUAAAUAAUUAAAGAGAAGCUAGUUUCCACAUCGUGUGAUGCACGGUUAAUCCUGCCGUGUGCUAUUGAAAAUAUGUUUUUUUUUUUGGGGUAAACAACUGAAUUAGUAGCUAUAUCUUUACUGUGCUUUUAUUUUAGUCAUUCAACUAUGUAAAUUUUUCACUAAAUUAUUUAAGUUCAAUUUUUUAGUCAUGUCUAAAAUAGCUGGAUGAUGUGACUUGUUAUUUCUUAGAUAAAUUACAUGAAUGGUCAUUCAAUUAUGAGAGUAUUUUUAUUUUGAUCACUCAAUUAUAAAAAAAUUUUAAUUUAAUCACUAAAGCUUUUAAAAUUAGAAUUUUUAGUCACUAUAUCGUUAAGUUGAUAACAUUAGUUUGACCUAGUCCUUUUAUUUAUUAAAUAUUAAGUUUAGCUCUUUAACAUUUAUAUCUUUUAUCAAUUUAGUCUUAACUCUAAAACGCCAACAAAUUUAACUCUCAACAUCUACAAAAUUUGUCAAUUUUAUCUUAAUUAUUGGUUUUUUCUUUCUUUCUACCUAUUCCUCUAGUCUCUUAGUCGAUGUUAUUCAACGUAGAAAAACUUAAAAGUUUUCAAUUUCUUAUGCCAGAAAAAUCAUAAUUUAUGGGUACAAAUUUUUAACAUUUUAAAUUAAAUAGUGAUUCUCCAAGUUGAAAUUUUCAAAAAAAAUUAAUUUCCGACAUCAAAAACACCAUAAGUCAUCGAAUAUAUCAAUAAAUGCAACCUAAUCUCAUCAGUAACAUUAAUUGUCAACUUAUAUGUGAUAAGGUAAAAAAACAUAAUUUUAUAUAACUAAUAUUAAAAUUUUAAUUUGCAAAAACUAAUUUUAAUUUAACCAUACCUUAAAAGAAAACAUUUAAGAAUUUUACUUUAGCCAUGCAUUCAAUAUUUUUUUUUAUUUUUUAAAAUGAAUAAGUUAAAUUGCGGUAAAAGUAUUAUGUAGGCCUUAUAUUAGGGUUAGAUUGUAUUUUACCUUUUCUACUAAAAAAUGGGUAAAUUAGUCUUUAGACAUUAGAUCAAAGAGUAAAUUGGUCAUUCUGUUAAAAAUUCAUCUAUUUUUACUGUUAAAAAAUUAGUCUUUAUAUGUUAAUAUAAGGUACACGUGACACAUCACGUGUAACUGUCUAAUUAUUCUAUCAACUGCAUCAUUUUUAAUAGUAGAAAUAGAUGAAAUUUGUAACAGAAAGGACUAGCUUACUCUUUAAUCUAACAUACUGAGACUAAUUUACCUAUUUUUUUAGUAAUGAGGACAACAUGCAAUUUAACUUCUAUUAUAAGGUACCAUAGUACUUUUAUUGUUAAAUUACAAAUGUUUUGAUGUAAAAUUAAAGAAAUUAUUAAAAUGAAUGUGUUGGAAUUAAAAGGUAUAUUCGACCCAAACAGCCAGCUAUACCAUCUUUCAAUUUUUAACAUUCUUUUUCCAUAAAUAGAAUAAGGGUGUUAGAGUAAAAAUAGCAAUGGCAGUAAGAUUAGAUACUGUAGCGACACUAUAGCAUGAGACAAAAAGUAAGCUAAACACACCACAUCGCACCCGAUCACCCAUCCAAACCCAUAAGUAGUACUAUUCAUAUGUUGUGUGUUGUUGCUAGCCAUAUAUACUUCUUUCACAUUUGAUUUAUCUUUAAAGAACAAGUAUUAGCAUAAAGAUUGUUCGGUUAUUAUAUUAACUUGGUAUUCAUCAAAAUGUUUUAAGAAAAAUUAUUUAAAUAGAUCUUCAUAUAAAUUAUAGGUAUAGGGAGAAAAAUAAGACUCUGAUGAUAUCUUUGCAAUAUUCAACGCAGUUUCUAUCAUUGUUCUGUUUUCUUAUGGAUUCUUCAACAUUUGAUUUAUCUUAGGGCUUUGUCUUAGUGUCAUGAUUUUAGUUUUCUCAACAAAUACUACAAUCCCAUUUUAUAUACAUUUCAUUAUUCAUCAUUCAUGUUGAGUCAUUGCCUAUUUCACAGGACUAGAACUUUAGUCUAGCAAAUUACGCGGCCUUAGUCGAUUUCUUGGAUUCAAAUCUGUCUAAAUCAGCAUUACUCUUGAAAACUAUGAAUUCUCGCAGAAAUUCUCUAAGGCAUCAAAACAAAGUGGAAGCAAAAGAGAAAGAAACCACGAAUGAACAGAAAAGCCACAGAAAAAUAACGCACACCAAGUGUUUGAGUAAAUGUUCUCAAUAAUAUUUUUAACUCAAGAAUAAAGUGAUUACAAAUGAAUGGGGAGGGCUCUAUUUAUAGUUGAGCUCCCCUAAAUCCAAUGGUAAAAAUCGAAUUACAUUAAUGGCUGAGAUUAAUUCUCAUCUAAAAUAAGAGAGUCUUAAGGGAUUUAAAUUUUAUACAUGUUUAUCCUUUAAGAUUUAUAAUGAUUAUCCUGGUAUAAUAUAAUUUACUCAAGUGUUUACAUUUUAACCAGAAUCCAAUAAGAUGGGCCUUGAGUCUCUUCAAAGUAAUGGGUUAGUCCUGUAGGGCUGAAUGACCCCAAGUGAACAUGAAGGGUCUGAAAUAUACGCAUCAAUUGCGGGCUCUUUUGUGCAGCCCAUGACAUUCUCUUCCACCUAUUCUCACGACACCCUCAUCACAUCCUCAGAAUGAAACUAGUCUAUCUUCUCUUGGAAUUGCCAUAGAGCCUCAUGUUAGAUCUGGUGCCCUAAAUGUAGUAUUUUCAUCUAAGUACAAUUGUAAUUUUUUCGAACAGGUUAGUUAAUAAAAUUAUUCACGAAUUAUAUUAAUACUUUGUAUAUUAUCCUCACAUGAUUUUUGCAUAUAAAGUAAAAUAGAAGCAAAUAUUAGCUCAUUGGUUGUCUAAUAUUUAACUAAUACUAAGUGGUAUUACGUGGUCGAAUCGUAAUACGAAAAGACAACUUAUCUUAGCAGAUGAACCUAAACAUGUCUUUAGUCUAAUUGAAAAUGAGCAAAUCGAUUGAAAGAUUAAUAUGUCGUCUAUAAAUUCCAAUUGGGGAGAUGUCUUAUCUUGGACAUUAGAGCGGAUGACUCCCAAAAGUAGAGACAUAGAUGUGACUGACUAGACUGACAAUACAUCAAACUGAACCCAAAAAGAAUAGAUCUUGAAUAUGUUUAUAGAUUUAUUUAUUUGUGACGUUCAUAGUGAGGCAUACCUAAAUCCUGAGUGAAUGUCAGACUAUGUAUGUGUGACUCGUAUACUUUGAUGUAAGUAAAAGCCUAAGUUCAAAUAAAUAAAGAAUUGAAAGCUGGUGCUUUUGGUAUACAGCUUCUGCAGUAUGUAGCGUCAUUCACAAUAGUGGAAUUAAUAGCUCGAGACAUGGGUAAAUGAUAUCCUCUCAUUGGCAUUACAAGGUUUGUGAAAAGUAAACGUAGCCGCGGAUCAUUCGUCUUUGCAAUGAAUGACUUGAUUACUAGUAAUUGAUUUUUCAUAAAGGAAGAUUUAAUGAUUACCAUGAGAUAAAAUAAGACCAUAUUGGGAGAAUGAAUAUUAUCCUAAAGAGAUUAAGGAUAUCCUAUGAGGGUAACACACUUAUGACAAGGUCAUUGGACGAGCAAUAAUUGAGUUGCUUUCAUAAUGAUAUGCCAUUAGGGAGAGCUCAGUCACGAUACUAUAGUGGAAUGACUUCAUGGAUACAUAAGUUUAUAAUUAAUAUGUGAAAAUCCAGAACUUAAUUAUAAAUCAUUUGAAUCCUAAUCACAUAUGUCCAAUCAGUUCCUUUGUUAGCUCAUUAAAACUAGAAAUGAAUUUAAUAUUGAAUCAGAUUAAUUGAAAUGGUAAAAAUGGAGAAAUGAGAAACAUUUGGAAAUAAUUAUGGUUUUCUCCAAAAUGAAAAUGAAAAAUGAAAUUGACCUGGAAAUGAUUUUAUGUUUUUCAAGUAUUAAAUAUAUUUUAAUGCUUCUACAAUUCAAUAAGGGUUCUACUUUUUCUCCCUAUAAAUAGAUGGCACUAUAGGGUUAUUUACACAACUUUAAGAUAUUGUUACUCUACCCAAAAAUAGUAAGAAUUUGUUCUCAAGUAUUAAAUAUAUUUUCUGGAAUAACAAUUAUGUUGCUCUCUAUUAAGAAGAGAUUUCAUUUUCACGCUAAAAGAAAAGAAAACUAUUUCUAAUUCUGUGUUUGAUUCAAAUCGUUUGAGCCCACACUCAAAGUAGUUCAUGGUACGAGAAUAGUAGAAAAGGUCGUUUAGUUGAAAGCCAAGAACGACAAGGAUCCGCCUAGCCAAAAACACAUGUGAGAUUUCAGUAAAGGGUUUAUUGCUAUAAAUAUCACAAAUCGGUUUGGUUUUCAAAAUUUUUAUUUUCUAUUAUGUAAGAAAAUCAUUUUCGAACUAGAUUUUUUCCAACACCUUAGCAAGUUCCCAAUUAAACUCAUUGUUGGGAAGUCUCUUCCGACGAACAAGGUACUCAUGCCUUGGCCUAUAGUACUUCUGUCGGAUUACUCGAUCUGCCACGAUGCACUCAACAUCAUGAUCAUAUGAAAUAUUUACCCCAAUUGGUGCUCGUUCAAAAUUGCCUCAAUUUGGAUUCUCCGAUCAUGGAAAGACUUAAACAUGCUGACAAGGAAAACCAGAUGAACCUUGAGUUUUGUUGGUAAAUCUAGUUUGUAGACCAUCUUGCCUACCCUUGUGCAAACUGGUGUGGUGCAAAAUCAAGUGCAAUUUAGUAAGGACUGAGUCACCAACCUGAAACUGCAUAUCUCUGCAAUUCUGAUCAACCCAUUUCUUGUUGCGCUUACUUACCUUGUGCAGGCAAGCUUUAGCUAAGUUAUUAUGCUCUUGUCAAUCUUUAGCAAAUCGAUGAGUUGUUGGAUUUAGUCUUGUAUAACGGGUAGCAACAAUAUUGGGUGUAAGUGGUUGUUCCCCCAUCAAUAUCUCCAAUGGACUCUGAUUCGUGGCCCCACUCCGCUGCAAGUUAUAAGAAAAUUGGGUCACAUCCAACAACUUUGGUCAGUCCCUCUGUGUGGCAUUUACAUAGUGCCAAAGAUAAGUCUCCAAUAAAUCAUUUACUCUCUCAUUUUGCUCAUCAAUUUAUGGAUGCAUGCUAGUAGGAAAGUUCAAGUCUGACCCAUUAACUUGAACAACUCUAUCCAGAACCGGCUCGUAAACCAUCCAUCUUGAUUACUAACAAUAGAUUGUGGCACUCCCUAAUAUUUCACCACAUGUCAAAGGAACAAACGAGUUGCCUCAUCAACAGGGCACUUGUAACACCCCUUACCCGUAUUCCUUACCGGAACAGAGUAUGAGGUAUUACUAAAUUUUUAAAAAUUUUCGACAGCAUUCCUACUUAUUUUUGCUUAAACCUCCUGCAAAUUUAGAACACAUUCCAAUAUACCAACCAAUUUCAUUUGUAUAAACACACAUAUAGUUUAACUAUUAAUAAACACUACAUUUAAAAGGGAACCAUAACAUAUAUUUACAUGAUGAUCCCACAUUACAUAAAGUGUCUAUACAUGCCAUAAAAUUUUGGAACACUAGUAGUAAAAUACCCCAAAUGUGAAGGAUAGUGUAGAUGAUUGUCUGACUUCGUUCCAAUUUCUGAGUUGUUGGAAGUCACUAUAACCAAGAGAAAAAUAAAAUCGAGUAAGCAUAUAGCUUAGUAAGUAAACACAUGAUAAAUAAGUAAUUACUCCCAUAACUACACCAAAAUAUAAACUUAUUCAUGAAUAACAAUAAUUUAUUGUUUAGGCAAUUUCCAGCAAGCUGUUUUUCUGCGUCAUAGUCGCUAAUUUAUUUUUAUCUGGAGCUACAGGGCUCCAAAUUGAGUUCCGUAAAUUUUCCCUGAAACUAGACUCAUAUACCAUUUCACCAUAAAAAUUUCAGAAUUUUUAACCCAGCAAAUUAGUACAGUUUAUUCAUUAAACCUUCCCCUGUUUCACUGCCCAACGGUUCUGACCCUUCCUCACUAAAAUUUACUUAACUCUCUGUAAAAAAUUUGAAAAAUGGGUUUUCUUGUUUCUAAUAAAAAUAGACUCAAUAAGGAUUCCAAGGAUAUAAAUUUCAUGCCAUAAUUAAUUUUUUACAAUUUUUGGUAAUUUUCCAAAGUUAGAACAGGGGAUCUCGAAAUCAAUCCAGCCCUGUUUUAAUAAAAUUCAGAUAUCUCCAAAAAUACAACUCUUUUGCUUAUUCUAUUUCUUUCAUAUGAAAACAGACACAUCCAGCUUCAAUUUCAUAUAUUAUUCAGCUUUCCAUUCAUUUUCCACCAUUUAUGGUGAUUUUUCAAAGUUACCCAACUGCUGUUGUUCAACACAGUUUAUAAUUAAAUCGUUCCUUUUUCGUUUUUGAUAUUUUCUCCCAUCUCAUACAUGGAUCGAUUUAGUGUCCAACUCAAUAUUUACCCCAUAAAAUUUUCCACCAUAUGGCAAUAUUCACCUUCCACACUUUUUCGUUGAACACUCGGAAUGUUAACCGUUAUUGGUGGAUCUCGCACUUAACACCACCACUGAAUCGGGGAAUCAUCACUUAGCAACCCCUCGGGGGAAUCAGCACAUAGCAACCCCCUUUUCAUUUCAAAUAUACAAUGGAUAUCGCACUUAGCAACCCCUCGGGGGAAUCAGCACAUAGCAACCCCCUUUCACAUUUCAAAGAUAUGGUGGAUAUCGCACUUAGCACCACCAAUGAACCGGGGAAUCAGCACUUAGCAACCCCUCGGGGGAAUCAGCACAUAGCAACCCCCUUUCACAUUUCAAAGAUAUGGUGGAUCACGCACAUAGCACCACCCAUAAAUCAGGGAAUCAGCACACAGCAACCCCUUUUAUAUACAACAUACUACGGCUUAUUCCGAGUGUUCAACCCAUAACCCAUAUAUUGCAACCCUUUAUCACCUUUCCCGAUUUAACAACAUUUUUAGGAUAUUGCCAAACAUUUAUUUUAAUUCCAAAUAAAUCUCAACAUAUAUCAAAUAAUAUCAAAAUAAUACAUUAAGUCACGUGUUUACUUACCUCGGUGCAAAAUAUCGUAAUUUUGCACUUUACUCCACUAUCUUUUCUUUUCCUCGUUUGAUAUACUCUUCACGUCUUUCUUGAUCUAUAAUAGCAAAUUUAACUCGUUUAAAGUCCACAUUUAUUAAAAUAAUCCACCACCCAACUUUUUGAAAAUUACAAUUUUGCCCCCAAACUUUUGCAUAAUUACACUUUUGUCCCCAAGCUCGGAAAUUAAACUUCAUCACUUAUUCUUAAGUUUUAUAACAUGCUGAACAUUUUUCCCUUCUAUGGAAACAUCAAAUUCCCACUCCAACACAUACUUUUGAAUAUUAAUUAUUUUUACCGAUUAUGUCUAUUUACCCGUUUUCGCUUAAAAUUGCUUAGCAAAAGUUGUUUAACAUAAUCUCUAGCUUCAUAUUCCACCAUAAAACAGCAAAAUAAACACAUUUCACCUAUGGAUAUUUUUCCAAAUAUGAACCCUAACAUGAAUUAAUGGUAGAAUAAGCUAAACCAAGUUACCGGGACUCCAAAAAUACGAAGAACAUUAAAAACGGGGCUUAGAAUCACUUACUAUGGAGCUUGAAAGCUUAAAAACCCUAAAUAUGGCUUCCCCCUUGCUGAUUUCGUUCACCAUGAAGAAGAUGAGCAUAUUUUGCCAUCUUUUUCCCAUUUAAUUCUAUUUAAUAACCAAAUGACUAAAAUGCCCCCAUUUAAAAAAAUCUAUUUCACCCAUUUCUUAUGUCUAUUUUUGUCCAUCAACUAACUAAUGGUCUAAUUACCACAUAAAGACCUCCAAUUUAAAAUUUCAUAACAAUUAGACACCUCUAAGAUGUAGAACUCAACUUUUGCACUAUUUACAAUUUAGUCCUUUUGACUAAAUUGAGUGCCCAAACGUCGAAAUUUUCGAACGAAAUUUUUACGAAAUUUUUCCGUGAAAUUGUAGAUCAUAAAAAUAUAAUAAUAACCAUAUUUUCCCUCGUCGGAUUUGUGGUCCCGAAACCACUAUUCCGACUAGGCCCAGAAUCGGGCUGUUACAACUCUCCCCCCCUUAGGGAUUUUCGUCCCCGAAAAUCUUACCGGAAAAGAGGUUUGGGUACUGUUUCCUCAUAAUUUCCUCCGGUUCCCACGUAGCCUCUUCCAUUCCAUGUUUUUGCCACAACACUUUCACUAAGGCUACACUUUUAUUUCUUAACUGUUUGACCUCCCGAGCCAAAAUCUUUAUGGGUUCUUCUUCAUAAGUCAUAUCUGGUCGAACCUCAAUCUCUGUAGGAGAAACUAUAUGUGAAGGAUCCGAACGAUAACGUCGCAACAUCGACACAUGAAAUACAUUAUGUAUCUUUUCCAACUCUGGCGGUAAAGCUAACCGAUAUGCUACAGGGCCAACUCUCUCGGUAACUUCAUAUGGUCCAAUAAAACGUGGACUUAGUUUGCCUUUACGACCAAAUCUCGGAAUCUUCUUCUAUGGGGAUACUUUCAAGAACACUUUAUCACCCACUUGAAACUCAAUUUCUUUUCUCUUUAAAUCCGCAUACGACUUUUGCCGAUCUGAGGCAGCUUUUAGGCAAUCACGGAUUAUUUUCACCUUUUCUUCAGUUUCUUUCACCAGGUCGACUCCAUGAAUCUGAUUCUCACCGAGUUCAGUCCAAUAUAAAGGGGUUCUACAUUUACGCCCAUAUAAUGCUUCAUACGGUGCCAUUUGUAUACUUGACUGAUAACUAUUAUUAUAAGCAAAUUCAACCAGUGGUAGAUAUUUCUCCCAACUGUCCUUCAUUUCUAAAAUACAACACCGGAGCAUGUCUUCAAGAACUUGAAUCACCCUUUCUGAUUGUCCGUCAGUUUGCGGAUGAAAUGCAGUACUGAAAUUCAAUUUCGUACCCAAAGCUUCCUGUAACUUUAUCCAAAACCUCGAAGUAAAUCUCGGAUCUCUAUCCGAUAUAAUAGAUUUAGGCACCCCAUGUAGUCUCACUAUUUCAGCAACAUAUAAUUCAGCCAACCUGUCAAGUGAAUAAUCAAUGCGUAUCGGAAUAAAAUGGGCUGACUUUGUCAAUCUAUCCACAAUUACCCAAAUAGCAUCUUUCUUCUUUGGAGUUAAAGGCAAUCCUGUCACGAAAUCCAUCGUGAUACUGUCCCACUUCCAUUCUGGAAUCGUUAUCGGUUGAAGUAAACCCGAUGGCACUUGAUGCUCAGCCUUCACUUGUUGACAGAUUAAACAUUUUGUUACAAAUUCCGAGAUAUCCUUUUUCAUGCCCGGCCACCAAUACAACUUCCUCAAAUCAUUGUACAUUUUCACACUACCCGGAUGGACUGAUAAAUCACCACUGUGUGCCUCACCUAAAAUAGUCCGAAUUAGCUCAUCAUUUCUCGGUACACAUAUUCUGUCCCUGAACAUCAGGCAAUCAUCUGAACCAAUUUGAAAAUCUGAGUCAACACCUGCUUCACACUGAGCUCUCUUGGCUUGCAAUUUACUGUCAUUCUUUUGAGAUUCCCGAAUUUGCUGAAGAAAUAACGGUCUAGCUCUCAAUUCAACCAACAUUGAGCCAUCAUCAGAUAAAGUUAACAUCGUACCCAUAGCUCUCAAAGCAAAUAAAUAUUUUCUGCUCAAGGCAUCAGCAACCACAUUAGCUUUCCCGGAGUGAUAAUCAAUCACUAGCUCAUAGUCUUUGAUUAGCUCGAGCCAUCUUCGUUGCCGCAAAUUCAAGUCUUUUUGACUCAUCAAAUAUUUCAAACUCUUAUGAUCAGUGAAGAUUCGGCACUUUUCACCAUACAAAUAAUGACGCCAAAUUUUUAAAGCAAAAACAAUGGCAGCCAAUUCUAAAUCAUGCGUCGGAUAAUUCUUCUCAUGCGGUUUCAACUGUCUCGAAGCAUAAGCUAUUACUUUGCCCUCUUGCAUUAACACACACCCAAGGCCAUUCAACGAUGCAUCACUGUAAAUUACAAACUCCUUCCCGGACUCAGGUUGCACCAACACUGGCGCCUCAGUCAAUAAUGCCUUCAACUUUUCAAAACUCUGUUGACAUUUAUCGGUCCAUUCAAACUUGACAUUCUUCUGCAGUAACUUAGUCAUAGGAGAAGCAAUCAUCGAGAAUCCCUUGACAAACCGUCUGUAAUACCCAGCUAAGCCCAGGAAGCUUCUAACUUCAGUCACAUUCUUUGGUGGCUCCCAAUCAACAAUUGCUGAAAUUUUGCUUGGAUCAACCCGAAUACCUUCACUUGAAACUAUAUGUCCCAAGAAUCCAACCUCACGAAGCCAAAACUCACUUUUGCUGAAUUUAGCAUACAAUUUCUUUUCUCUCAGAAUCUGCAACACAGUUCUCAAAUGUUCUGCAUGUUUCGAUUCAUCCCGAGAAUAGAUUAAAAUAUCAUCUAUGAACACCACCACGAACUUGUCUAAGUACAGCCGAAAAAUUCGGUUCAUCAAGUCCAUAAAAAUAGCUGGAGCAUUAGUAAACCCAAAAGGCAUUACCAGAAAUUCAUAGUGUCCAUACCUCGUUCUGAAGGCGGUUUUCGGCACAUCAGACUCUUUAACUCUCAACUGAUAGUAACCAGACCUCAGAUCGAUCUUGGAGAACACUGUUGCCCCUUUUAAUUGAUCAAACAAAUCAUCAAUUCUCGGCAAAGGAUACUUGUUCUUUAUGGUCACCUUAUUGAGCUGACGAUAGUCAAUACAAAGUCUCAUAGAGCCGUCCUUCUUUUUCACAAAUAACACAGGAGCACCCCAAGGAGAAAAACUCGGUCUCACAAAUCCUUUAUCUGUCAACUCUUGUAACUGAGCUUUUAAUUCCUUCAACUCAGUCGGAGCCAUUCGAUACGGUGCAAUAGAAAUCGGUGCAGUACCAGGUAACAGAUCAAUAGAAAACUCAACUUCUCUAAUCGGAGGUAACCCAGGCAAUUCCUCUGGAAAUACAUCUGAAAAUUCACAGACUACCGGCACUGAUUCAAGCUUCGACCCAGUUAUAUCAGUAUUCAACACAUAAGCAAGAUAAACUUCACAUCCCUUUCUCAAGUAUUUCUGAGCAGACAUGUGCGAAAUCACCAUAGGCAACUUAUUCGGCUUCUUUGUUUCAAUCCGGAGAAUUUCACCAUUUUCACACUUUAAUUCAAGAAUUUUCUGUCUACAAUUCACCUUGGCAUCAUGCAAUAUCAACCAAUCCAUCCCCAAAAUAACAUCGAACUCAUCAAAUGGUAACAACAUCAAAUUAGCCAGGAAACAGUGACCUUGAAUCAUUAGGGGGCAAUUCUUGCAAAUCUUAUCAACUAAGACAUACUUGCCUAAUGGAUUUGAUACUUUAACUACAUAUUCAGUGUUUUCAAUAGGCAAUUUCUUACUAGAUACCAAUUUCAUGCAUACAUAUGAAUGAGUAGAGCCGGGAUCAAUCAAAGCAAUAACAUCUAUAUCAUGAAGAGAAAAUGUACCAGUAAUCACAUCGGGAGAUGAGGCAUCCUCUCGAGCACGUAUGGCAUAAGUCCUGGCAGGCGCUCUAAUUUCUGAUCCUCCAGCUGCAUCUUUCAUCACACUUUUACCACUGACUUUGCUUCCCACAUUUCUCGGCGGUCUCCCUCUACUAACAAUAUCACCCGAUCCAGCUCUUGGCAAAUUUUCUUCCUCUCUUCUCUCAGGGCAAUCUCUUACAUAAUGCUCUUGGGAACCACACCUGAAACAAGCUCGUUUAAAUCCCCAACACUCACCAAUAUGUCGCCUGCCACACUGUUGACAUUCAGGCCGGGUGUUUCCUACAUUGCCCACACUUGCUACAGAGGUAGCUCGAGUUGUAGCUCCAGAAUACGACCUCCCUCGGUCUCUGCGUGAAUACCCAACUGAACCAGUUGGUCGUGGAUCCAUCCCUUUAAACUUCUUCGAAUGAGAUUGAAAUGUUCUGCCCAUUGUCCUCUUCCUUACAUCUCGAGAUUCCAUCUCUGCCCUUCUCUUUUCUCUACUCAGUUCUUCAGCUUUACAGGCCCGAUCAACUAACACCACAAAUUCUUUUAACUCUAAAAUCCCAACAUGCAAUCUGAUGUCUUCAUUUAGCCCCUCUUCAAAUCUUUUACACAUAAUAGCCUCCGUAGGCACACAUUCCUGGGCAUAUUUACUAAGCCGAACAAACUCCCGUUCAUAUUCUGCUACGGACAUUCGGCCCUGUUUCAACCCGAGAAACUCUUUGCGUUUUUGAUCAAUAAAUCGUUGGCUUACAUAUUUCUUUCUAAAUUCUUCCUGAAAGAAGUCCCAAGUAACUCUUUCUUUUGGAACCACCGAUAUCAAUGUUUUCCACCAACGAUAUGCCGAAUCCUUCAAUAAAGACACAGCACAUUUCAAACAUUCUUCAGGGGUGCAAGAUAAUUCAUCAAAUACCCGAAUAGUAUUUUCAAGCCAAAACUCAGCUUUUUCCGGAUCAUCAUCAACAUUGGCCCUAAAAUCUUCAGCCCCAUGCUUUCGAAUUCUAUCAACAGGUGGCUUACUUGAUCUCACCAAUUCGGCACUCCGUGGAGCUACGGGGACCGGUUGAGGAAUAGGAGGGGGUGGAGGAGGAGGAACAUUCGGAUUUACACGGACAUAUUUUAUAUACCAAUCACUCAUCAUUCGGAGGAAGGCUUCCCGAGCCUCAUCCUGUCCAUGUGUCUCAUGUCUACUCUCUUCCUGCGCGGUCCCUUGCGCGAGAGCCGGCGCGUUACUUUCAACAUCAUCUGCCACACUUCGAUCAGGAUCCAUUUACUAUAUAAAACAAAAUUUUAAAUUGUCAGAAAUCAUCACACUAUCACAAUAAUUUUAUGGCAUGUAUAGACUGACUUCCACACGUAUUUUAUUGGUCCGAGAACCGACUAAACCGUAGCUCUGAUACCACUAAAAUGUAACACCCCUUACCCGUAUUCCUUACCGGAAUAGAGUAUGAGGUAUUACUAAAUUUUUAAAAAUUUUCGACAGCAUUCCUACUUAUUUUUGCUUAAACCUCCUGCAAAUUUAGAACACAUUCCAAUAUACCAACCAAUUUCAUUUGUAUAAACACACAUAUAGUUUAACUAUUAAUAAACACUACAUUUAAAAGGGAACCAUAACAUGUAUUUACAUGAUGAUCCCACAUUACAUAAAGUGUCUAUACAUGCCAUAAAAUUUCGGAACACUAGUAGUAAAAUAACCCAAAUGUGAAGGAUAGUGUAGAUGAUUGUCUGACUUCGUUCCAAUUUUCGAGUUGUUGGAAGUCACUAUAACCAAGAGAAAAAUAAAAUCGAGUAAGCAUAUAGCUUAGUAAGUAAACACAUGAUAAAUAAGUAAUUACUCCCAUAACUACACCAAAAUAUAAACUUAUUCAUGAAUAACAAUAAUUUAUUGUUUAGGCAAUUUCCAGCAAGCUGUUUUUCUGCGUCAUAGUCGCUAAUUUAUUUUUAUCUGGAGCUACAGGGCUCCAAAUUGAGUUCCGUAAAUUUUCCCUGAAACUAGACUCAUAUACCAUUUCACCAUAAAAAUUUCAGAAUUUUUAACCCAGCCAAUUAGUACAGUUUAUUCAUUAAACCUUCCCCUGUUUCACUGCCCAACGGUUCUGACCCUUCCUCACUAAAAUUUACUUAACUCUCUGUACAAAAUUUUAAAAAUUGGUUUUCUUGUUUCUAAUAAAAAUAGACUCAAUAAGGAUUCCAAGGAUAUAAAUUUCAUGCCAUAAUUAAUUUUUUACAAUUUUUGGUAAUUUUCCAAAGUUAGAACAGGGGAUCUCGAAAUCAAUCCAGCCCUGUUUUAGUAAAAUUCAGAUAUCUCCAAAAAUACAACUCUUUUGCUUAUUCUAUUUCUUUCAUAUGAAAACAGACACAUCCAGCUUCAAUUUCAUAUAUUAUUCAGCUUCCCAUUCAUUUUCCACCAUUUAUGGUGAUUUUUCAAAGUUACCCAACUGCUGUUGUUCAACACAGUUUAUAAUUAAAUCGUUCCUUUUUCGUUUUUGAUAUUUUCUCCCAUCUCAUACAUGGAUCGAUUUAGUGUCCAACUCAAUAUUUACCCCAUAAAAUUUUCCACCAUAUGGCAAUAUUCACCUUCCACACUUUUUCGUUGAACACUCGGAAUGUUAACCGUUAUUGGUGGAUCUCGCACUUAGCACCACCACUGAAUCGGGGAAUCAUCACUUAGCAACCCCUCGGGGGAAUCAGCACAUAGCAACCCCCUUUUCAUUGCAAAUAUACAAUGGAUAUCGCACUUAGCAACCCCUCGGGGGAAUCAGCACAUAGCAACCCCCUUUCACAUUUCAAAGAUAUGGUGGAUAUCGCACUUAGCACCACCAAUGAACCGGGGAAUCAGCACUUAGCAACCCCUCGGGGGAAUCAGCACAUAGCAACCCCCUUUCACAUUUCAAAGAUAUGGUGGAUCACGCACAUAGCACCACCCAUAAAUCGGGGAAUCAGCACACAGCAACCCCUUUUAUAUACAACAUACUACGGCUUAUUCCGAGUGUUCAACCCAUAACCCAUAUAUUGCAACCCUUUAUCACCUUUCCCGAUUUAACAACAUUUUUAGGAUAUUGUCAAACAUUUAUUUUAAUUCCAAAUAAAUCUCAACAUAUAUCAAAUAAUAUCAAAAUAAUACAUUAAGUCACGUGUUUACUUACCUCGGUGCAAAAUAUCGUAAUUUUGUACUUUACUCCACUAUCUUUUCUUUUCCUCGUUUGAUAUACUCUUCACGUCUUUCUUGAUCUAUAAUAGCAAAUUUAACUCGUUUAAAGUCCACAUUUAUUAAAAUAAUCCACCACCCAACUUUUUGAAAAUUACAAUUUUGCCCCCAAACUUUUGCAUAAUUACACUUUUGUCCCCAAGCUCGGAAAUUAAACUUCAUCACUUAUUCUUAAGUUUUAUAACAUGCUGAACAUUUUUCCCUUCUAUGGAAACAUCAAAUUCCCACUCCAACACAUACUUUUGAAUAUUAAUUAUUUUUACCGAUUAUGUCUAUUUACCCGUUUUCGCUUAAAAUUGCUUAGCAAAAGUUGUUUAACAUAAUCUCUAGCUUCAUAUUCCACCAUAAAACAGCAAAAUAAACACAUUUCACCUAUGGAUAUUUUUCCAAAUAUGAACCCUAACAUGAAUUAAUGGUAGAAUAAGCUAAACCAAGUUACCGGGACUCCAAAAAUACGAAGAACAUUAAAAACGGGGCUUAGAAUCACUUACUAUGGAGCUUGAAAGCUUAAAAACCCUAAAUAUGGCUUCCCCCUUGCUGAUUUCAUUCACCAUGAAGAAGAUGACCAUAUUUUGCCAUCUUUUUCCCAUUUAAUUCUAUUUAAUAACCAAAUGACUAAAAUGCCCCCAUUUAAAAAAAUCUAUUUCACCCAUUUCUUAUGUCUAUUUUUGUCCAUCAACUAACUAAUGGUCUAAUUACCACAUAAAGACCUCCAAUUUAAAAUUUCAUAACAAUUAGACACCUCUAAGAUGUAGAACUCAACUUUUGCACUAUUUACAAUUUAGUCCUUUUGACUAAAUUGAGUGCCUAAACGUCGAAAUUUUCGAACGAAAUUUUUACAAAAAUUUUCCGUGAAAUUGUAGAUCAUAAAAAUAUAAUAAUAACCAUAUUUUCCCUCGUCGGAUUUGUGGUCCCGAAACCACUAUUCCGACUAGGCCCAGAAUCGGGCUGUUACAGCACUCAUUGGUUUUUGGAAUAAAGGUUCCAUACUUGGAAAAUCUAUCAACCACAACAACAAACCUCGCAAACCCAUCAGAUUUAGGCAAACCAAUAAUAAAAUCCAUAGACACACUCUCCAAUGGACGUUCCAUAAUGGGCAAAAGUUGCAAUAAACCAGUCGACGUUUUCAGCUCUACCUUGUCUUGUUGGUACACAAGACAAGUCUUCACAUAGAUCUCAACAUCAUCACCCAUAUGAGGCUAACAGUAUCUGUAACACCCCCAUACCAUGUUCGACUCAAGGAACCUGAUAUAGGAAUAUUACAUUUGGUGCCAAAUUAAUUCUUGGCUAAUUACUAAUAUAUUUGAACAUAAAAACGGACGCUUGGAACAUACUUAAUAUUUUUCCUAAGUACAUGCCAUUCUAUUCAAAAUUUGAAAACAUACACUGUUGUUGCUUGAAGAUGUGAUGAGAUGAAAGUUUGCAAUCUCAAAUUCAACGCUUCAAAAAUCACUGUACUUAAUCUGCGCACGGAAACAAACCGUAUGCUGAGUAUAUUUACUCAGUGGUAUUACUAUAAUUCAAAUACUUAAAGUAAAAUAUUAAACUUAUAUUUUCAAUCAUAAGCCAUUCUCUCUCAGUGGAUUACUUAUUUGUUCAUCUUUUAAUUUCAUACUACCAACUAGCUUAAUUAGCUUUAAUCUACUGUAUCACAUCAAAAUUAAGUAAAAAGGACUUAAUUGACUUACCAAUUAAAGUUUUAAGCUUCAAAACCUUAAUUUUCCCUAUUCUUUUUCUUUUCUUCUUUCCUUUCCCCUGUUUCGAAUUGCUCUCUGUUUCUUUUCUUCUUUGUUUUGUUUCUUUUCUUUUCUUAUUUUAAUUUAUUUUAUAUAUAUAUUAGUUAACAACAACAACAACAACAAUAAUAAUAAUAAUAAAUAUCUAUUUACUUAAAAAGUAAUUAAAUAAAUAUAUUAUAAAUGUAUGAAUACUAUUAUUACAUUUGUAUAUUUUUAUCACCGUACGCUUGACUUUAAUCUAAUUCAAUUCAUAAUAUGAUAUUUAUAAUAAAUUAAUUUAAUAAUAAAUAUCUUUAGUUUAAAAUAUAAGUAAAUAAAUAAUUAUAUUGCAAAUUUUUACAUAUAUUUAUUACACAUGUGUUUUAUCAUCACCAUACACUUGUCCUUAUUUUAUUAAUUAUAAUAUAAUUAUUAUAAUUUAACAUAAUUAAAUUUAUAACUAAUUUAUUUAUUUAUAUUAAUUAAAAAAUCUUAGAUUUUUGUUUUGUUUGCCGCCUCAACUUAUGCUAAAUGAGUUAUUUUUCAUUUUGGUCCUUUUUAUUUUCUUUUAAUUUACAAUUCAACUUUUACUCUUUAUUCACUUUAGUCCUUUUUCCUUAUUACUCUUAAUUAAGCUAAAUGCACCUAAUUAGAACCUAAUUAAGUACACCGCUAGUCUCAUAAAUUUUUCUAAUAAUUAUUUAUGAACUCAUUUCACUAAGACAGAGGCCCAAUAUUGCACUUUUUCGAUGCCCGUGAAUUUUGGGUCAUUACAGUAUCGGUCCUCCAAGAGAGCCAAUGUGUGGUGCAUACUUAAAUUGUGCAUAUACGUCUCGAUAAUCUGAUCUUCGGUCUGAUUAUAUAAACAUAAAAAAUUAAUAAAAUUAAUAAUGUUAACAACUUAAUAGUUAUUAAUUAAAAUUAAAAAAUUUAAUAAUAUUUUUUUACCAUUUGCAAUUGGAUACCAAAAAUGUGUUUGUCAUCCAAAAGAAUAAGAGGCAUUGAUAUUUUUAAAAUUAUAAAAUCAAAUAAAAUUAAAGAAAUUACAAAAUAUAAAAUUAAGACAACAAGAAUUUGAGAGGCAUUGAAUGAAAAUUUGAGAAUAAAAUAGCUGAGAGAAUAAGAUUGAGAGAAUAGGAUUUUAAUGCAAAAGAAAGAAAAUAAGUUUGAUAUAUAAAGCAAAUAAACUAACCGUUUGAAAAAAAAAACUAUUAGAAAUUAGCCGUUGGAUAUUUUGACUACUAGAAAAAGUUAUAAUUGGACGAAAAUAGUCUUGUUGGACGCGUUUUUUAUUUUUCUCUCUAAAAUAAUCUUUUUUUUAAAAUUUGAGAAAAAAAAUCUAAUUUCCUAAUUAAUUUUUAAAACUUUUAAAUGCUAAAAGAAUGCCAUUAUCUUCUUUUAUUAAUGGCCUUACGCUAUUAUUAAACAAAAUGGCUAAAUGCAUUUUGUAGGAAUGGCAAAAUGUGAUUGUUUUUUUUUUAAAGAUAAAUUUAUUAAUUCAUUCAAUGAAUGGAACCAUACAAUUUAGGAGAAAAACAAAACACUCAUCAUAAAUGGGGAAUGACAAGCUCUAUUAACACAGCAAAGGCUUUAACCUCAGCAUCAAUAGAAAUAUAGAAUAUAAUGAUGUUGACAAUUGGCUUUGUCACAACUCAGGCACGACAUAUCUAAAGUGACUACAAACACUUAACACGAUAUGAAAAUCAACCCUGAAUGGUCCAAAGAAUUGAACAAAAAUCGACAAAAAAAUCGAGCAUUCAUCAAACUAUAGAGGACGACAACAAAACUAUCCCUAAAAUCAUUUGUAAAACUAAGAUUAUGUGAAUAAGCAAUACUAAAAACCGUACUACAAGAACAGACAAAAACUUCUAAAAUUGAAGACUUAUUAAACAUUGGAAAAACAAACAGCAACAAAAAAACAUAUAAAACUUAAGACAACACAAGUCCAAAUUGACUCGUGAAAUCAUUUAUUAUUUUGAAAUAUUCUCAAAACACAUAUUAAAAAACUGACGAAGAGCCAUCCACUUUCCAAGAAAAACUACUGGUGACCGGUGAAAUUUUAGCGAAUGACAGGAAUCGUCUUCUAUUUAUCAUAACUUGUAAAGGCAACAAAAAUACCUACAAAAUAGAUUCUCAAACUAAAAAAGAGAAAAGACGUGUGAAGUAAAUGAGAAGAAGAAAGAAAGAAAGAGUUAAUGGGAGAGGAAAAAAGUGAGAGUGAUAGCCAACCCGAAAACAGACACCAUCAUCACUGAGCAAAACAAAGAUAAAACACAAACCGCUUCCAAAAAUGUCAUUUUCUUUUGUAAAUUCGCAUGGCUUUUUUUUUUCUUUCAUUUAAAAUUCUAUAUUUAUAAAUGAAAGGAAGUUACCUUCCCUGUCUAUAUAGUAACUACCAGGGACAGUUUUUUCUAUAUAUAACUUCCAUUUUUGAAUGUCUUUUUUAUAACUACCAAAUACCAAUCGGUAAUUUUAUUAUAAUUUCAAAUGGAUCCGACCUAACUUUGAUUAUAUCCCAAUGAAUCCAACAUUGAAGUUGGUUAUUUUUUAGCAAAUCAGAUAUGUCCUUGAAAGAUACAGAUUGUAAGAGGGCCAAUUAUAGUAAUGAGAAAUUAGAUAUUUUAAAAUAUGUAUUGGGAUCAAAAUAAAUUCAUGUUUAUGUGUUUAUGUUAUUUCUAUCUUUCAAAUAUUUAUAAAUUUAUGUAAGUUUUAAGCGUUAAUAAAUUAUGGGUAAAGUACCUAUUUAGUCAUCUAAGUUUAUCCGUGUUCUUAUUUUGGUCACCCAUUUCAAAAAUUUGUUAUUUUAGUCAUUUCCGUUAGAUAGGUUGUCAAUUUUAGUCACUCCUAUUAGAUAAGUUAUCAAUUUUAGUAGCUUCACCGUUAAAUGCCUUUGGUCACCAAACAAAAUGCUGACGUGUUUGUCUUUUGAUUGGUAUAAUAAUAAAUUUAGCCCUUAACACUUUGCAUAUUUUAUCAAUUUGGUCCUAAUUAUAAAUUUUUUAAAUAAAUUUAACCCUCAAUAUUUGUACACUUUGCAUAUUUUACAGAAUUGUUGUAUUAUUUUUUCUGAUUUGGCACGUGUAUGGAAUAGGUCCGAUAAAUCAUUAGAACGUAAGUAAUAUAAUUAAGAUAAUAACAGUAUUUUUAUAAUAUGUCAAUUAAUUAGUUUAGCUUAGUUGGUUAAGAUGCUUGCUCUUUUACCUUAGUACCUUGGUUCAAAUCUUGUUGGUAAUAAUUUUAAAUCUUUUUUGUACUUGUUGCAUUUAUUUUUUUAAUCAAUUAACUGGGCCCAUUUCGGUAAAUUUUAAAAAAAUAGGGCUUUUUAGGUAUUUUACCCAGUUAAUUGAUUAAAAAAAUAAAUGCAACAAAUACAAAAAAAAAUUCAAAUAAAUGCAAUAAUUCUGUAAAAAAAAUCCGGUGUUUACUUCAAAUAAAUAAGGAAAAUAAUGAUUUGAAUGUUUCAAAAUUCAAUUUUAAACCGAAAAAAUUAAAAUUUAGAGGUAAGAAAGGAUCUUUUUCGACAAAAACUGCGGCAAACCACCUUCUGCUGUUUGUCAGCGAGUAGAUCUUGAAAAGUUAUUCGAAAUAAAAAAAAUCGUCUCAAUCGGACAACCAAGCGAAAAGUUAUGGCUUUUCAAAGUUUUCCAAACUAAAAAACAUAAACUGUUCAUCCCACGUUAGCAAAUCGCGUUCUAGAGGGAGCGAUUUGCUUCCACGUCAGCAACUCGCGCUGACGUGGGCGCGAUUUCCUAGCACGUACCCUGACAUCGCCCUGACGUGGACGCGAUUUCGCGGAAAAUGGACAAUUCCGGUAAAUAAUUAAAUAAUGGGCCCAUUUCAGUAAUUUUUGAAAAAAAGGGCUUUUAUUGGUAAAUUGCCCAAAGUUUUAUAAUCUAAUUAUAUAUUUUUUUAAUAUUUAUAUUUUUUCUUUUUAUAAUAAAUAAUAUAUGUAUUCAAGUUCUUAAAAUUACAACUUUUUAGAAUUUGGAUUAAAUUGACAAAAUGUGUAAACAUUGAGGGUUAAAUUUGCUAAUUUUUUUUAGAAUUAGGACCAAUUUGAUAGAAUAUGCAAAGUGUUAAGGGAUAAAUUUGUUAGUAUGCCAAUCAAAAGACUUCCGUGUCAGCAUUUCGUCUAAUGACCAAAAGCAUUUAAUGAUAGAGUGACUAAAAUUGACAACUUAUUUAACUGAAGAGACUAAAAUAACUUAUUUUUUAAAUGGAUACCAAAAUAAAAAUACUGGUAAACUUGAGUGACUAAAUAGAUAGUUUACCCAUAAUUUAUUCAUGCUGAUGUUUCCAUUUUUGUGUAUCUAUGAUACUGAAAUUUUUUUUUGCUUAUGUUCGUGUUUUUUUUUUGUAUUCAUGGUAUUAUAGAUGUAAACCUUUCCAUUUUGAUGAAUAGGUUAGUGUCCUCAAAAAUGACAAUUCGAAAAUUUAUUUUGGAGGAGCUGAUUCCCCUUAACAAUAAAUGGGUUAGGGUAUAUGAUACCACUUGAGCUGCGUAUCUCAAGUGGUACCAUAUACCCCAACAUGUGACCUAUAUACCAAAUAUUAGAGGUUUGAAUCUCAUUAAGGUUGAGACACUUACGUUGUAUCUUGGCGGGUGGCCAUAUGUUCAUUUACUAUCGAGGUGCCCUCUCUGUGAAUCGCAAACGGCUUGUCGCCCGGGGGUUCAAAAUCCACCCAGGGAACAAUAUAUUCCAUUGUUGAGGGAUUAGAUUGGCGUCCCCGAUGAUGACACUUCAAAAACUUUUCUCGAAUGAGCCAAUCCUCCCUUACAAUAAAAACCUAUACGAGGACAUAUGGUCGAGGCGCCCCCUCCAUGAAUUGUACACGGCUCUCCAUAAAGGGAGACAAAACCUUCCCUUAAUGAAUAAUACCUUUCAUUGUUGAGGGAUCAUGUUGACAUCGCCGAAAACGACACAUCAAAUAUUUCUUCCGGAAGAGCAAAUCCCCUUCAUCGAUUAUGAAAUUUUUUAAACCUUUAUGUUUCACUUAGUAAUACAUUUUUUGUGGAAUUCGAUACAUUCUUGUAUUUAUGCUAUAUUUAUUAGCAGUUAAGCAAUUGAUUAAAUUAGCUCAAAUUGUAAUUAGCUUUGUUAGUUAAAAGUUUGUUAUCCAGCCUGUAUAUAGCUAGCUUCUAGAUCCUUUUUAUUCGGAUCUUACAUUGGUCAAAUACUUGUAUAUAAGCUAUUGUAAAUGAUUCAAAUAAUAACAGAAAAUCAUUUUACCAAUAUUUCCACAUGGUAUCAGAUGUUCUCUCUUCCGCUUUUCUAUUUUUUUUUUGAUAUUUGAGUUUUAAUCUCAGAUCUCUCUUUUUAUUUUUUGCCAUUUUCAUGGCUACUGUUGAUCCAACUCAGGCUUCAAGCCCUUACUAUCUCCAUCCCAAUGAAAAUCCAUCAUUGGUUCUGGUAUCUCCACCUCUUUCUAGCUCGAAUUACCAUCACUGGUCACGGGCAAUGCGGAUGGCUCUUCUCUCCAAGAACAAACUUCAAUUUGUUGAUGGCACUAUUUCAGCUCCUCCUACUACAGAUCCUCUGUUUCCAGCUUGGGAGCUUUGCAACAGUAUGGUAAUAUCUUGGCUUAAUCGUUCUAUAACACCUUCAAUCUUUACUAGUGUUUUAUGGAUUGAUAAAGCCUCUGACAUUUGGAUUGAUCUUCGUGAGCGUUUUUCACAAGGCGAUCUUUGUCGAAUAUCUGAUUUACAAGAAUAGAUCUAUGCUUUUAAACAAGAUGAAAAAUCUGUCACUGACUAUUUUACUGAAUUGAAAAUCUUAUGGGAUGAGUUGUUGCAAUUCCGGCCUCUGCCUUCUUGUUCCUGUACUACACCUUGCUCUUGUGGUGUUGUUACCACUGCUAGCUCUUAUCAUACGCAAGAUUAUGUGAUUCGGUUUCUCAAAGGAUUAAAUGAUUCUUAUUCUGCUGUGCGAUCUCAAAUUCGUUUGAUGGAUCCUUUACCAACCAUCAACAAGACUUUUUCCAAUGUGCUUCAACAGGAACGCCAAUUAUCUGUUGUUUCCUCCAAGGUGUUUGCUGGUAACACUAUUAAAUCUGGUACUUCUUAUAAGAAAUCACUAUCUCCUUCUUCUACUUCUUCCUCAGUUUCUGGUGAUAAACGCUAGUGUACUUUUUGUCAAAUGCCAAGGCAUACUAUUGACACUUGCUACAAGAAGAAUGGUUACCCUGAUAGCUCUCGUCCUCGCAGAUCAGUCUCUCGUGCUCACAAUGUUAUCUCAAAUGAUUAUGAUGAUUCUUUGGAGGAAACUAAAUCUGUCACUGCCGUGCCAAGUGCUACUUCUAAUGGUUCUAGUAUUAAUCUUACUUAGGAGUAGUAUGAUCAGCUGCUUGCCUUGCUUCAUUCAACUACUUCCCUUUCCAAACCACAUGACACACCAUCUUCAUCCCACCAACCUCAUAUUACCAAUCAUAUCAUGACCAUCCCUCCCAAUCCUAUACACUUGCUGCUACUGAUGGUAAUACUCUUUCCACUUCCUCUAAGGUUAAAUUUUCUUUUUGGAUAGUUGAUACUGGAGCUACUGACCACAUUACAGAUUCAUUAUCCUCAUUCACAUUUUAUAAACAAAUUAAACCUAUCUUUGUUAGCUUACCUAAUGGUUCAAAAGUACCUGCACAUUUUUCAGGGACUAUCAUUUUCAAUGAUACUUUAUGCUUAACUGAUGUCUUAUAUAUACCACAAUUCUCUUUCAAUCUUUUAUCUGUCACCAAACUUACAUCUAACCUCCCUUGUUGUUUCACCUUUUAUACAUCUCAUUGUACUAUACAGGCUAUACCAUCUUGGAGGAUGAUUGGUACAGCUAAAGCACAGCAUGGACUUUAUACAAUGGAUAAUCCUGUUCGCCAGUUCACUUUUCCACAACAUAAUGCUCUCAUCACUCCCACCUCCACCACUGAUCUUUGGCACCAUCGAAUGGGAUAUAUCUCUGAUUCUAGGAUCAAAUUACUUGCUGGUUAUAUUCCCUUCCUUACCUUUCAUGAUAAUACUGCUUGUAAAACUUGCCAUUUUGCUAAGCACAAGAAGCUUUCUUUUCCUGUAAGCCAAUCUCAUUCAAAUAACAUUUUUGAUCUUAUUCAUAUUGACAUUUGGGGUCCCAAUUCAAUUAUUUCUCUUCAUGGUCAUCGUUAUUUUCUCACAAUUGUGGAUGAUUAUUCUCGAUUUACAUGGAUUAUUUUGCUCAAAACUAAAUCUGAAGUCCGUGGUCAUUUACAAAAUUUUUUUGCCUUGGUCAAAACACAAUACUCUUGCUUCAUCAAAAUUGUAAGAUCUGAUAAUGGCAGAGAAUUUGACAUGCUUUUUUUUAUGCCUCUCAUGGCACAAUUUAUCAAACUUCUUGUACUGAAACUCCUUAACAAAAUGACUUAGUUGAACGUAAACAUCAACACAUUCUUAAUGUGGCUCGUGCUUUACUUUUUCAAUCUCAUUUACCACAAAUUUUCUGGGGGUAUGUUGUGCUACAUUCUGUCUUCCUUAUUAAUCGAACCCCAACUCCCUUACUUUCUAAUCAAACACCAUUUGAAAAGUUUUAUAAUACCAAACCUGAUUAUUCCAUGUUCAAGGUUUUUGGAUGUUUAAGCUAUGCUUCCACUCUAUCUUCCCACCGCCACAAAUUUGAUUCUCUGGCAAGGCAAUGCAUAUUUCUUGGUUAUAAACCUCAUGUUAAAGGUUAUAUCCUCCUUGAUACAAAUUCCCGAGUCAUAUUUGUAUCACGAAAUGUUACUUUUCAUGAAACCAACUUUCUUUUCUCCCACCAAAACACCUAUGAUUCCAUCUCCCCCCUCAAUUACUUGAACUUGACACUACAUAUGAUGAUCCUUCUCCACCACACUCACCACAAAGAACCCACCACCACCACCACCACCACCUUCUCCUCCUCCAUAUUCUCGUCCACAAAGAACCAGGCAGCAACCCACCUGUUUACAAGAUUACCAUUGUUAUAAUGUUACAAUUGCUGCCAAUCAUCCAGGUACACCACAUUCUCUUACUUCCUUUAUCUCUUAUAAACACUUAUCACCAUCACACUUGCAUUAUACUCUUGCCAUUUCUAUUUUUAUUGAACCUAAAACCUAUAAGCAAACCAUCCAACAGCCACAAUGGAUCAAGGCAAUGCAAGCUGAGAUUAGUGCUCUUGAAGAGAAUAAUACCUGGAUCUUCACUACCUUACCAGAGGGUAAAACACCAAUUGGGUGCAAAUGGGUGUUUAGAAUAAAACAUCGAGCUGAUGGAUCAAUUGAACGUUACAAGGCUCGAUUAGUUGCCAAGGGUUACACACAAACUAAAAGGGUUGAUUAUUUCGAAACAUUUUCACCUGUUGCAAAGAUCACAACUGUCAGACUUCUUCUAGCUUUGGUUGCUUGCAACAACUAGUACCUUCACCAACUAGAUGUAAACAAUGCUUUUCUAUAUGGUGGUCUCCAUGAAGAAGUUUACAUGCUCCCUCCUCCUGGUUUUGCACCUUCUGCUUCUAAUCAAGUUUGCAAAUUACAAAAAUCACUCUACGGAUUGAAGCAAGCAAGCAGACAAUGGUUCUCCAAGCUCACAACUGCCUUACUUACCCUUAGAUACAUUCAAUCUUCUGCUGACUAUUCUUUGUUUGUGAAACGACAACAAGAUACCUUCACAGUUCUUCUAGUAUAUGUUGAUGAUAUCAUCUUGACUGGUAAUUCACUCUCUGAAAUUACCAAAGUGAAGGCCUAUCUAGAUCAACAGUUUCGGAUUAAAGAUCUUGGAGAACUAAAGUACUUUCUUGGCCUGGAAGUUGCUCGAACUACUGCUGGAAUUCACCUCUCACAGAGGAAAUAUGCUUUGGAAAUCUUAGAGGAUUCCAGAUUUAUGGAUUGUACACCUGCCAAGACUCCAUUAGCAUCUAAAUCAAAGUUUACUUCCAAUUCUGGUGCCCUCCUUCAUGAUGUUACUUCAUAUCGACAACUUGUAGGAAGGCUAAUCUAUUUGACAUCAACACGGCCUAAUCUUGCCUUUGCCGUGCAACAAUUGAGCCAAUUCAUGGACAAACCUAUUAAUCAACAUUUGCAAGCUGCUCACCGUAUUCUUCGAUACUUGAAAGCUUGUCCUAGCAAUGGUUUGUUUUAUCCAUCUUCUUCUCCUCUUGAUCUUCGAGCAUUCAGUGAUUCAGAUUGGGCUGGAUGUCUCGAAUCUCGGCGUUCCAUCACCGGAUUCUGCAUCUUCUUGGGAAACUUACUAAUCAGUUGGAAAUCUAAGAAGCAACCAACUGUCUCGCGUUCAUCUUCUGAGGCUGAGUAUAGAGCUUUAGCUUCCACUGUUUAUGAAGUUCAAUGGCUCCAUUAUCUUCUUCACGAUCUUGGUACCACUCUUGUCCGUGCAACACCCUUGUUCUGUGACAACAAUUCUACUAUUCAGAUUGCCAAUAACCCCACUUUCCACGAACACACCAAACACAUAGAAAUUGAUUGUCACAUCGUCCGGGAAAAGGUAACCACUUGCAUUGUGCACCUGAUGCCUUGCAAAUCAAGUGAUCAACUCGCUGACCUCUUCACCAAGUCACACGCUGCUCAACCAUUUCAUGACAUUGUUAGCAAACUGGGAAUGCUUAAUAUCCAUUCUCCAAUUUGAAGGGGACUAUUAGUAGUUAAGCAAUUGAUUAAAUUAGCUCAAAUUAUAAUUAGUUUUGUUAGUUAAAAGUUUGUUAUCCAGCCUGUAUAUAGCUAGCUUCUAGAUCCUUUUUAUUCGGAUCUUACAUUGGUCAAAUACUUGUAUAUAAGCUAUUGUAAAUAAUUCAAAUAAUAACAGAAAAUCAUUUUACCAAUAUUUCCACAAUAUUGUCAUUUCAUAUUUCAAUUAUUUUUCCUAUUACUUUUGUACAAUGUCUUAGCUUAUCGCAUGUUUUAUAUAAUUUAUUAUGGUAAUUUAAUUUUAAUUCUAACUUCAUUUACUUGAGAAUCGGAUGAUUUCAUUAUAUAUAUUAUGUUGAAAACAAUUUCUGUUAAUUUUCUUAUGCAUAGCUUAAGGUAAAUAAUUAAAUUUAAAACCAAACAUAAAAAUCCAAUUUAUUUUAUCAAUUUCUUAAGUGAGCUCAUGUGAUUUUAUUUUGGCUUAAUAUAUGGGUUUGUUAUUUUUAUUAUUAUGAUAUUUAUAUUUAUUUUUGUCCAAUGUGAUAGAAAUUAUUUUAUUACUUAUAGAAAGCAAUGUUAAUUUUUUAAAGUUGAAUUCGAGUUUUAGAGUUAAUUUAACUAAAAUUCAUAAUUAGUUAAUAAUGUCAGUAAUUAACUUUUAAGAAAUUAACCAAACUAAAAAAAAUACUAGAUAACACUUUAUUUAAUAAAUUAAAUAAAUUCACAAUUAAUACUUAAUUUAGUCUAUUAAUAAAUUUAUGAAAAGUCAAACCUAAUAAUAUUAGUAAUUAAUAUCCAUCAAAUCAAAUUUAAAAUUCGAAUUAAAUUGUAAAAGUUAACACCAUAACUUUGUAUACCAAAGAUGUAUAACUUUUGCAAAAUAAAAGUAACAUAUUGGAAAAAAACUCACAUGUAAAAUUGGGUAAACUAGUAUUCACCCAACUAUUAGUAAUUUUUUUUUAGUUACUCAACUAUUAAAAGUACAAAAUGAUUACCCAAUUAUUCAACUUUUUUCUUUUUGGUCACUAGUUAUUAAAUUACUAACAAAAAUAAACUUGUCAGCUUUUAAAAUUGGCAUAAUAACAACUUUGGCACUCAACAUUAUACAUUAUGUCAAUUUAGUAUUGAUUCCAAAAAAUUAACCUUCAACAUUUUCACAUUAUGUAAUUUGGUAUCUUUUCUUUUUGUAGUUUCACUUAUAUUUGUGACAUUGAGGGGUUAAUUUUAAAAGAAUGAAAAAAGAUGAAAAUUAUUGCCUUAGAUUUUUGGAUGUUUCUAUUUUUGUAUAUUUCCAAUCAAAUUUAAUUGAUAAUUUUUUUUAACUUUUUAAGUGAAAGCACCACAAUAAAAAACAUAAUUGGAAGAAAAAAAAAAGACCAAAUUACACAAUGUGUAAGCGUUGAUGGUUAAUUUUUUUAGAAUUAAGAUCAAAUUGACACAAUGUACAAAUGUUGCGGGUUAAUGUUACUAUUAUGCCAAUUUUAAAAGCUCACACCAUCUUUCCAUCAUCCAUGGUGAUAAAAAAAAUCAAAUAAUUAUGAUACUAUUUUGUAACUUUUCAUAAUUGGAUGACAAAAAAAAUUAUUACUAUUAGUUGGAUGAUUUAAGUAUAGUUUACCCUAAAAAUUUUGUUAAAUUCAAGUAACAAAUGAUGAAUUAAAACAUUUUAUUUUAUCUUUGUAGAGUGUGCCUCGUAUUUUAGAUGAAACAGAGUUGACGUCGUGAAGAAGAAGAGCCGUUGUCCCAACGACGCAACUACGACGUCCUGAGGAGAAGUAACGCCAUGCCUCGACGACACGAUAAUGAACAUCUCAACGAGCCAAUAGCAACUUCAUGACAUGGCGAUUUGUUCUCCACUUAACCAGGUUUUUUUCUCUUAGUUAAACUCUAUUAUAUUUUUCCAAUCUAACUUUAAUUAUUAUAGAGAUGCUUUAGUAAUAUUUGUACAUAAAAUUGAGCCUAUAAAUAGGCCCCUUUAAGAGAGGGUUUGUGUGAAUUUUGAUAAAUCUUUAUAUUUAAGGUUCAGUGUUUAUUUGUUUCUCUAUUUUGUACUUUCCUUUUUUUAAUUUUUUGUAUUUUUAGUAAAAUUUCUUGGCCCAUAAUUUUUAUUCUUUUCAUAUCAGUUUUUUCACAUAAAUAUUUGUAUCCAAUUUUAUCAAAUUUAAUUUGUGUUGGUUGCAUAAUUCGAAUUCGACCUAGCAAUUUUGAAUGUGAGGUUUUUUAAAUGAAGGACAAAUUAGUAAAUAUAACAUGUUACUUUGAAAGUUUUUCUUAAGACAUGGACAAAUCAGUAAAUGCAAGGCUACAGUAUUUGUCAAGUCUCACCAAAAUUCCAUCAGCGUUACGUCAACAAUAUAAAAAGAACCCCACCAGAACUGAUUACAGGAAUAAAUCUCCUCCUCCUCAAAGAUAUAAAAUUUUCCCUAGAAAAUUCCCGUAUUUUUCUAUCUAAACAAAUACUCCCUCCUUGCGAGAGCCCUAGAUGUCAACAUCAAGCCAACCUCAGUUCCGUUAUACCCAGACGCCAUCGAAGGUCCUCCAUCUCCGUAAUCUCCCAUGGGAGUGUGCGGAAGAGGAACUCGUCGAACUUUGUAAACCCUUUGGGAAGAUCGUUAAUACUAAAUGCAAUGUUGGCGCCAAUCGAAACCAAGCUUUUGUUGAAUUCGUAAGCUUCUAAAUCCAUCAAUAGUUUUUUUUCUUUUUUCUUUUUUGUAAUUUAUAUACUGCCUUGUGUUAGGUUGAGGUCAAUUAUUUACUGAUACUUUCUUGUGUAAAUUUGAAUUGUAAAUUGGAAAAUUUAGUCUUUUUUGGGUGACAGUUUGUUUUGUUUAGCAUGGCAAUAAUAAUUUAAUUUUCGGCUGAUUUUGUUCUUUGCAAUGUAGAUUUCAUGGGUCGAUGGCAGAAUUGAAUUUUUAUUUUUAUUCAUUUUGUUGUGUUUUAGGGAUGAUGGUUUUGUUCCACUGUGUUAGGUUAAGGUUAAUUACUAAUGCGCAAGAUGAAGUUUUAUUUUUGUUUUCUUUUCUAUCAAAUCACAAAUAUAAAUUUGGUGGGUUAGUUGGUAAUUGGAAUUUUUGAUCGAUGAUGGUUUUAUUUUUUAGUGUAAAUAUUUUAUGGGUUAAUUUCAAUUAGUGAAGUCUAGAUAAUCUUUUUAAAGGGUGAUCAGUGAUGGUUUGAUGUUAAGAAAAGGUGUUACUUUUAUUUGCAGGCAGACUUAAAUCAGGCUAUUUCAAUGGUUUCAUACUAUGCUUCAUCAUCAGAACCAGCACAGAUUCGUGGAAAAACUGUGUAUAUUCAAUAUUCAAACAGACAUGAAAUUGUCAACAACAAAAGUCCUGGAGAUACCCCUGGAAAUGUGUUGCUGGUUACCAUUGAGGGUGUGGAACCUAAUGACGUGACCAUUGAGACCAUUCACUUGGUAAGUGAUUAUUUCUGGCACAUGCAUUUCUUCAAAUAAAUGCGACCAAUUGUUACAGAUUUUCUGUUAUUUUUCUGGUACAUGCAUUUCUUCAAAUAAAUGUGACCAGUUGUUACAGAUUUUCUGUUAUUCUGCUAAAAGAUUAGGUAGUUUAAGGUGUUAAAGCCUUUUUAUGCUUAGGGGCUUCUGGUAUUUGCAUAAGGAAUUGGAGUUUUGGAUGAACCUUGCUCCAAGGAGCCUAUCGGUAUGAGUAAAUGAAGAUAUCUUGUAUUUAUAGUUAUAAAUUGACCUGUUUUUAGUCAGUCUAAAUCUUGUGAAGCUUUGUUUUGAAUGAGAAUACUUGUUGCGAUUGUGAACUAUUAAAAUAGAAAGUUCAUGAAGUGUCCUUCAGUCAACAGAUUGAUUGAUGAUCUUUUUAGGUAAUAUACCUCUGAAGUUAAAGGUACCAUACAGUGAAAGUAUCAGUUUUAACUAUCAUAAUAUACAAUGAAUUAAACUGUCUUUUUUUUCUUGUUCUUUUACAUAAUAGCAUCAUUUUAAUUGAAAUCAGUUGUAUCAUAGAUGGUUAUGCCCCUUAUUUAAAUUCCUUUGUUGGAGAUAGUUUGGAGAUAUUGUCAUGUACGUCAUACUCCUUUCUAGGGUAUAUCCUGAGGCAUGUAUGCUCAGGUGUCAUUCUGAACUUAUUUCUCGUCCAUUUGCAUAUGCUAACAGUGAUUUCUCCCAUUAUGCUAUUGCUUGUGAUGUUUGCUAGUGUUCUUUUUAAUUUAUAUUUUUGAAUUUAUGAUCUGUGAUUGUAUCUAAUUGAAUUUGGUUUCAGGUAUUUUCUGCAUUUGGUUUUGUGCACAAGAUUGCUACUUUUGAAAAGGCUGCUGGAUUCCAGGUGAGAUGUCAAAAAUAUGCAUUUGGAUCUUUGGAGAUUGCAUAUCUUCCAAUAUCAUACUCAUUUUAUGGUAAAUUUGGCAGGCAUUAAUCCAAUUCACUGAUGCUGAAACUGCAUCUUCGGCGAGGAAUGCAUUGGAUGGGAGAAGUAUUCCCAGGUAAGUACUAUAGCCUUGCAUCCUCCUUCUUUAACACAUAUUCUCAUUUUUCUCAUCUAGCAUCACUUAAUUCUCUUCUUUAUAUUUAUUGUACGAUAAGUGGUUCAGGAAUUUCAUAAAAUGUGGUUGUGUUGUAAUGUUUUAUCAUGAUAUUUUGAAUUUAGGUACUUGCUUCCAGAUCAUGUUACUUCUUGUUACCUGAGAAUCUCAUAUUCAGCACACACUGAUCUGAAUAUCAAGUUUCAGUCUCAUCGGAGCAGGUAAAAGUGCAUCCAAAAUAUCAUGAUAUUUUCUAUUUAAAGUUCAUCAAUGUUUGGUCGUGUUCAUUUCUGAAAUCUGAAGUAAUGAUCCUGCGAAAUAUUUAUUUUGGCAUCUGAUAUGUUUCUAAUCAAUGUGUAUGCUUUUUGUCAUCUAGGGUGUUAGUGAAGCCUGGUAGUCAGCACACAGAUGUGUUGUCAUGGCCGCUUAGUAAUUUUCUUAAUCUUUUGAGCACAGUUCCCUGCAUUUUCAAAUUACAUUAUAGUUGCAGUUGUUUAUAUGUUGAUUGUGGAAUUACGACUUUGGGGGCAUCAUGAGUAGGGGGAGCUUUUGCUCCUUCUUUCAUACAAAUAAAUUUUGUAAUUGACUGAUCAUUGGAGCAUAUCAUGUAACAUGCUAGUAAAAUUAAUCUGAUAUGAUGUUUGAAUAUUGCUUUUAAACUUGUUUAGUGUUUCCCAUUGCGAACCAUUCAACUGUUGUAUGCUUGCAAUUAUUUAUUCUAUUAGCUGAACAAUUCGUCGUCAUGGAACCUGAGUUUUUUCAAGUAUUUUAAAGUCAUAACAAUAGUCUCUGCUAUGAUGUUCAUUUUUCUUAUAUAAUAAAAGUGGGUCAGCAUGCAAAUUGGCAGAAGCUUUACUUACUUGUGGGGGAUAGAGACUUCUGUAUGUUAUUGUAAUUUUUAUUAAUAACAUUCAUUUGUUGUAUUCCAUAAAAAUAUUAUCUAUUUUGCUUCUCUUUGAACAUUAGGAAUUGUUUCUGGAAGCAUUGGUCGAAUUCAAGGCUGUAGCAUUCAGAGAAUGAGUUGUAAUUUUGCUAAGAGUCUUCAAUUGGCAUGUAUUUGAAAGCUUUGAGUUGCUAUUUGCUAUAUGGUUGGAACCAACUGGAUGCAGUUAGAGUGAUUGAUCUACUAUUCCUGUCAAACAAGAUGGUUCUUGACUUGAACCCAUAGUUUUUCAUGUCAUCUGAUCAUCUCGAUUACAUUUGCAGUAUCAUCUCUUUGUUACCAUAAAUCAUUUAUCCUUACUAGAUGCAAAUUUCUAUUUGACAUCAGGUGAUGCAUUUGUACUUAAUGUGAUCUGAUUUUGUUUGCUCAUUUUAUGCAGGGACUAUACCAAUCCUUACCUUCCUGUGAAUCCUACUGCAAUGGAAGGACUUAUGCAGGUAGAUUUUUCAGUUACAAACAUUUGACCUGUUUUAUAAGUUGGGUGUUCAUUAAUUUGUGGUAAUCUCCAGCCUGUAGUUGGUCCGGAUGGAAAAAAGCAAGAACCUCAGAGUAAUGUGCUACUUGCUUCAAUUGAAAAUAUGCAGUAUGCUGUGACAGUUGAUGUUCUUCACACGGUAGGAUGUUGUGUUGCUGCCCCAUUGGCAUGCCAGUACUGGAUUCUUGCUUGAAAAUUUUCUCAUAUUUUUAUUCUACUGGUUACAUAUUGUAGGUGUUCUCAGCAUCUGGCACGGUCCAAAAGAUUGCCAUAUUUGAGAAGAAUGGUGGAACACAGGCACUUAUUCAAUAUCCCGGUAUGCUUUCAUUACAUGAAUUCUGAAUUUGUUUAUUUCCGUCUUCAGUAAUCCAUACAUACCUAAUGAUUUGAUACCCAAUUAUCCUUCCAUGCAAAGAGGACUUGGACAAUUGAGUUUUUUCUCUUUUUUGGUCAUUCUUUCCCUACUUCACGAACCUUUCCUACAUAUGGUAUUUUAAAAAAAAUUUAUUUCAUUAUUAAGGUGGGCACCUAGGCACUAAUGAAAGACCGGACAGUAUAUGUGCCUCACCACUCUUUGUGAAGGGAAUUUGUUAAGAUGCAUCUUCGGCACCUUUGCAAAAGCAAAAGCAAAUCAGAUCUAAUGUCUUCUCUUUUAAAGUUUCAUGCAAAGUGCAUUGAUGUGUAUAUUAUAUAAUAACUAUAAUACCAUUCUCUUGGCUUCGCUUUGUUCGGUUUCAUUUGAAAUUUGUUCUCUUUCUGAUGAUUGUGGGAUACUUUUUUCCACACCUUAUCUCAAAGAUUUGAACUUUGAGAGCGUCCAGGUCUAUGGGAUGUGCCUUGGGGACCAUUAGACAUGUAAUGACCUGCAAAUUACUUGGUUUUGUAAUUCAUGUUUUUACGUUAGAGAGUAUUUUGAUCGAUUUUACUGAUGUUGAAUGUAUUAUAUCCAGAUGUUACAACCGCAGCAGUUGCCAAAGAAUCCUUAGAGGGACACUGCAUAUAUGAUGGUGGCUAUUGUAAGCUUCAUCUAUCAUACUCUCGUCAUACUGAUCUCAAUGUAAAGGUAUAAAUAUGUGCUUUUUGAGUUAAUGUAGGAAAAAUAACUUAGGACUUCAUUAGAAGAUAAAGGGAAUCUGUUCUUGAUUGGGAAAAAAAGGGGAUCUUGUCCUUAAAUUGUAUGCUUCUUGACUAUGUUAUUCGAAUUUGGAUAUAAGCGUCAGAUAAGUGUAUGUGUCUGGCACAGGUAUGCUCAAAUUUUUAAUAAGUUUUUCCCUAUAUUUAAAGGGUCCCUGGAGGAUCCCUACAUUCAUAUCCAAAAAUGUGUACUUAAAGAAAAAUAAAGUCAUAGCAAUGUUGUCACAUGAUUCUGAUGAGUUCAUCUUUUGCCGCAGGCAUACAGUGAUAAAAGUAGAGAUUACACAAUCUCAGACCCGAGUUUGCUUGCAACACAAGUUCCGGGAUUGCCUGCUGCUCCAAAUGCUUGGCAGAAUCCUCAGGGUGUUCCGGUGCACCUUGGUACUGACUAUUCGGCUUCAGCUGCAAUACAGGGUCAACCUCUUGCUGGACAAGUUCCUGCUUGGGAUCCAAAUUUUCAGGCUAGGCUGCCAUAUGGAUCAGUUCCUGGUCAAACAUAUCAAUCGUUGACAGCCCCUACAUACGUUAAUGUGGCAAGACCUGCAGGUUCAUCACCCCUUUCACAACCUGGUGCAUCUUCCAUGCCCAUGCAGCAGCAGCAGCAGCCGCCAUGGGCUAAUGUUAGACAAGGAGGUGCAGCGGAGCUGGGUCAGCCUCCUUAUUACAGUCGAUGACCUGUGUCUAUUCUAUAAUGAAAUUAAAUGAUCCUUUGUCUAUCUUAUAUUCCUCAUAAGGAUUCGCCAAUUGGAUCUCUUAAGUUAUGACUGAAAUUAAAAUUUUUUUUAUUGGAUUGGAAGUGUUGUUUUUUUUGUUUGUUUUGGAAACCAUCUCCACCAUUGAUGCCAAAAAGAGGUAGCGCUGAAAAUGAAAUGGUAAAUUAAUGUACAAGAGAUGCUUUCAUGCUAAAAUUGAAGUUGUGAUUUAGAAAUGAUGAAGGUGCCUGCAAUUUCAAUCAUCUUGACACCCUUUUUCAUCUAGUAUUUGUGUCCAGAGAUAAACUCUCAUGAACUCUUCACAUGGGGAAUUUUGGGAAAGAAAAGGGAAAUAUAUUGUGGGACUGUACACUUUGAUAUACCGUGAGUAGGUAAAGUAAGUGGUUGUAAAUGCGUUUAGAGUAUUUAUAAAAUAGUCGAACACCAUUCCCUAUUUAAAGUAUAACAUAUUAUAGCACAUUUAUGCACAGCAUUGAGUUUGCCAUUUCAAGACAGGUUCAGAUUCUUUCAGUUUCAGCUCAUUUAUGCACAGCAGUGCUUGAACAACACUAUGUUUUGCGUAACAUGUUUUAUUCCCAUGAUAAUGUCCGAUCAUUAGAACAAGUUUCCUUGAAGUGUUAUCUUUUCAAUCCAAACCCACCAUAUGAUCUACCUUUUGCUUCACUCAAAACCCUUUGCUUCUUUGAUCGUGCGAUUGACGAUGAAACUUUAAAGGCGUUGGUUUCUAAGUUCCCUGUUCUUGAAGGCUUCACAAUUGACCGGCGCCAUAGAUUACGUAACUUUAAAGUUUGUGUCGAAGUAUGAGGCUUAAGCACCUAGUACUUAGAUGCAUAGUGGACCAUUAUUUGAAUCUAGAAAUUGAUGUGUCAAGCUUGUCAACUUUUAAAUUCUGUGGAGAUUUAAUGAAGAUUUCUUUCACUUCUUUGCCUUCCAUUGUUGAAGCCACCGUUUUUCAAUGGAGUUAUAGAACAUAUGGGCAAGAAUUUUCCAUUAGAACAUGGUUAAGAAAUCUUGUCCAUGUAAAGCAACUCAGUGUGAAUUCUUGGUUUUCUCAGGUAUAUUUAUUUCUCAGUAACUAUUUGUUGCUUUGUUUUAAAUGGAUUUUGAUUGUUUAAUUGAAGUCUCAUAUCCAUUUUUUGUUCUUGGUAUGGAAAGUUUCUUGCUAGAGAACAAUAGGUAAACAAAAAUGAAUGGAAGAUUUUCAAAAAUCUUAAGGUCUUUUCUUGGUCUGGUCCAUCGGCAAAAGAGUGUGAGCUCAUAGCGCUAAUUGCCUUCUUGGGUUAUUGCCCCUCUUUGGAGAUGAUUGAAAUAGAUGUGAAUAAUUACUCGGUUUCCUUAAUUCUCAUCAUUCUAUUUGCACUAUGAUUCUUGAUGGAUUUGCAGUUUAGAUCUUCGUAUUGGGAAGAAGCUGGUGGGAGUAGACCAGCUUUUGCUUUGGAGCCUCCUUUUGUUGAGCUGAAAAAAGGAGAUGGACAACUAACAACAGAGUUUCUGCAUAAUGUGAAGGAAAUUAGGGAACAUCAUUUCUUUGGCUAUAAAAGUGAGAUUGAAUUUAUUAAGCAUUUGUUGCAACAGGCAGUUAUUCUUGAGACAUUAUCUUUAACCUAUCAUAGGUUUGAAUUUGAUCUUGAAUUUAGUGAUAGAUGUAAUAAUAGCCCUAAAGAGUUAGUUUAAGAGGAAAUUUUUAGCUUGCCUAGAGUUUCCUCUCUUGUUCAUAUAUUGUUUCAUUAGACAAAUUAUUAGAAGUUCAAAACCUGAGAAGGUUGAAUGCUAUGAUGUUUGGAAGAGGAACAGAUGCUCUAAAAUUAUGAAAUAUUUGGGUCCAAUCAUCUAUUACGACAUCAUUUGCCUUUGUUCAUUACACAACAGUUUCAUUCACCUCCAAAGAGUGAACGUUUCAGCAAAGUUGCCAUCAUGACUACAUAGAACAAUAAAGAAACAUCCAGACAAAAUUGUGAAGAACUUGGUACUAUUGUGUCUCAAAAUUUCACAUCAGUUGUCCAUGUACCUUGCACACUAGGGUGUUUAGUUACAUGCCUUGUCUUCAAUUUCACCACCUUUCUUCCCAAUGCGUUUCUUAGCCUGGUUGCAUAAAGAAGGAUAUCUUCAGGAGUCAUAUUCUUCACACAUACCACCCGCUCGUUUUUGUUCUCUGAGAAAUUGGCAAGAUACAUGUUUUGAGACAUGGUUAAAAACAACGCAUACGUGAAUGCAUCAUGUCUGAAACUCAUCCAAGAAAGAGUAACUUACUGUAAAAGCCUUUCAAAUGUGGAUGCUGCCCACGAAUGAGUUCAGGAACCACCUCCAGCUGAGGGUUUUUCUCUUUAAAAGUUGGUAACUCUGACUCCAUAAAUGCCCUGGCAUAACCAUGUCAAAAUUACCAUGAGUUUGAAGAAUUCAGAAUCCAUUUAAAGGAGAGAAUUCAUAUUUGUACAUGCUUCUUGUUAUUAUUAAUUAUAACAUAGUUGAACUUGAGACUACCAUGGUAUAUGAGUCAAAAACCAAAUGUUAACAAAGUAUGGCCUUUUCAUUUACCUUACUUGAAAGGCAUCCCAAUAUUGUAUCAUUAAGUCAUUAGAAAACUUAUUCGUGUGAUAAUGCCUAGCAAAAGCAGUCCGUUAGAUUUUACCAUCCCCACAGCAAAUUUCUUUUCAAAAAUUUCUCAAGUCAAUUCCCUCUCCAGAAUAGCCUCAGUCACAUGACAAAAGAAAAUGGAGGGAAAUGUGCUUCUCUGUUUCUAUUUUGGUCCCCAAAUACUUGGGUGGAUGAGUAAUGACAAUGUUCAAUUUUUCACUACUCUUUCACCAGGUCGCAGUAAUUAUCAGUGCAUACACAUGCAGAGAUGACUUGAGUACCCUAAUGUAACCCAAAGUGCUAAGCAUUCAAAUAACUAGUACAAAUAUUAAAGAAAGCAGCCUAUCUCAAGAUGAACUCCAACAUCAUCCAAGAUAUCCUGCUUAAUCUAUGAUAUCCCACUACUUUGGUGAUCAUAUAUUUAAUAACCUACAGCUAGAUUCAGAUCAUCCAUAAUUUCAACUAUCAAACCAUCACAUUAUGCGCAGAUGAAAGUGACACAGCUUAAUACUAGCUUGAGAACCUGAUUCAUUCAUUAUUUGCAAAUUACUCAGAAGUGGUUCAAUAGUUUAGUUUAUAUAUAGAUACAAGUCUCCACAGCAUAAACAAGAAUAAUACCUAAAGUUGAAAUGCAAAUCUUAGCACAAACUCUUGGCUAACAGAUCAAGAAAACAUUUAACAAAUAGGUACCUGCUUUAUUAGGCAAACAAAGACGAGAAAAACACAUUGCAAUGUUGGAAUUGAAAAGAGAAAUGCAACAAACAUUGAGAUUUCGAGAAAGUACUUUACUCCAGAGGUGUCAAGCAAAUAUACCAAAAAUAAUAUAAGCCAGAAAGUUUAAAAGAUAAUACUCAAGAGGCUUAUAUAAAAGUUAACAAGUGGAAAAAAAAGAAGGAUUAAAAUCAUACCUGAUGCCCCGGCUACUACCUCCCCAAUCACAAUAGCUUACAAUCAGCUUUUUAAGUUGCCAAACUCCUCGCAGUGCCAUCUUCAUUUUCAAAACAUAAAAAAAUUAUUAACUAAGUAUAUGUUUAACCCCCCCCCCCCUACCCCCUCUUUUUAUUUUCUAAAUAGCAAUACAUAUAAAACAAAUGAAUUGCACCUUUUGUUUUUGCCAAUUAUUUCCAUAAAUUUCAGAAUAUAAUGCUAACUUAAAUACUAUAAUUCAACCAUAAGACAUUAAUUUUUUCAGAAAAUUCAAGAAAGUGAAAGCAAAUAGUAAAACUAUUUUGAACAAUACGAUUAAAUAAAUACUCAACACCUCCUACAACUUAGCAUUUCAACUACACAAAUUCACAAUGUAACCUACUAGUUACAACUUCGACCUACAAAUUUAUAUUCUAUAACAAACUAAAAUCCCGCUUCUAAUCAACUAUCCUUAAUGUAACAUAUAAUGAGGAAAAAGAAAACAAUAUCUCAAAGAUUCUAUCACAGGAAAAAAAAAACAAAUCAAACCCGAAAAUUUGAACAGCAUACAUAUAAAUGGUCUUCUAAAAUUGACCGGGAAAAGAGAAAACAACAACAUUUUCAAACCCAAUAACUUGAACCCAAAAUCACCCCCCAAACAAUAGAUUGCAUGCAAAGAGAUUAUAAAUAACAGCAGAAAAAAGAUAGAUCUAGUAAAAAGAGACUCGAAUUAGAAAAAAAUUAUAAAGAAAGAAAAAAAAGAACAGAGAAAUCAACAGGAAAGAAUGCAAAUAAAGGGGAAAUAAUAAUAGGCAAAAUAUGGGGAUUUUACCUGACAAACGAAAUCGAUUCUCAGAGAAGAGGAUGAGUGUCUAGACACGAAAAAAAAGAAAAAGAAUAGAGAUAUUUUGUCACGCUUUUCGUCACCUUUAUUUUUUGAUUGAUACUAGGGUUUCGUACUCCUGUUAGACCCUUUCUCGCUUUUAGAGUUUUAGUCACUGUAUCGUUUUAAGUUCAAGUCGAAAGUUUGACGUGGCUUUUUUAUUUGUUUAAUAACAAUUUUAGUUUUUAUUUAUUUAUAGAUUUUAUUAAUUUAGACUUAAUUUUAAAAAAUUAAUAAGUUUAAUUCUUCAAUUUAAUUCUAAUUAUUAAUUUUUUUCUCUCUACCUAUUUUUUUUAUGCUCUCAGCCAUAGUUAUUCAAUACAAUUUUCUGCAUCAAAUCAUAAAUUAUCGAUAAAGUUUUUUUAUUGUUUAUUAUCAAAUAAGAAAGAUUUUUUUUUUUAUUUUUUAGUAUAAUAUGUGUUGUAGCACUAUCUGCAAGAUACAUAUUUUCAUCGAUCUUGAGUCCAACAAAGUUACAGUGAAUAUCAUUGUUCUUAAAUUAAAAGAGAAAUGAAAUUAUAAAAAGAACAAAAGAGAAUAAUUGAAAAACGAAAGGAUAAUUCAACUUUUACUUGCAAUACAAAAAAUUUAUACAUGCUCUUUAUUUAUAGAGUUUCAAUUACUAUAUGUUACAAAAAUAUAACAAAAAUAAUUAAGGUACACUGUAAAUUAUUUAAGGAUUACAAGAGUUACAAGAAAAUAAAUGAUUGGGGAUUAUGAGUUUUUUUAAUAAAAAUAACUCAAAAAAAUAAUUAAUUACUUAAAUGACUUAUUUUUUUGAUAAAAUACGAAAAUAACCUAAAAUCUAUAGUAAAAAUUAGUGGAGCCAAAGUGUUUGGCACCACCAAUAUGCCAUGUCAACAAUCUGCAUUAAAAAUUAAUUUUUUAGUGAAGCCAUGUAGAAUGAUGUCACUUGUAUAAAUAUUAGAGAAGUAUUGUGAUUUUUGAAAGUAUGGGGUUUAAACAAUUUUAUCUUUUUUUAGUCUACCAGCCUAUUUGACUAUUGAAACAACUUAAAUUUUUUUUAUUUUUUUCAUCCGUUACUUUUUCUGAUUCUUUGUCCUUUUUCAUUUUUUUGGUUUUUCUUUUUAACUUUUUUAUUUAUACUUUUUAAGUUUUAUUUAUUUGUUUUAUUUAUUUGCUUAUUAUUAAUUUUAUAAAAUUUGAAAUGAAUAUUUUAAAUGUUUUAUAAUAUUUGUACAAACCCAAUAAUGCCCGGGACCAACUAAACCUAGAAUGGCCCAACACAUGUAGGCCCAAUUGAACUAGCCCAAUACUGCAGAAAACCCUAGCAGCAAGUAGCCGCAACAAGCAGCAACCUCCCCAGCCUCCAGCCGCCGCAGGACUCGGAGAUCAGCCUCCCCACGCGCGCCGUUCGCUCCACGACACCUGCAAAAACGGAUUCAAAGAAUCCGAAAGAGAAAAAACAGCAAAGACAGAUAUUGAUUUUAUUCUUUUUCUUUUUCUUUUUCGGGCUAUAAAAAGCCUUUAGAAAUCUGUAAAAGGGGGGAAUUUUUCGGUAAAAAAAGAUACGAAAAUAGAAGCAAAAAACACAGAGAAAUUUUUAAAAUACAAAGGUGAAUCGAGUUUUUCUUUUUUGUAUAUUUUCUAUUAUUAUUAUUGUUUUUUUGUAAACAAAAGUCAAAAAAAGGAGAAGGAAAACUCACCUAAUCGCCAGAGCCAACGUGCCGUCGCGGUGACCCCUCUCCGUCGCAAUCGGAGGCUGGGGUGUCGUCGGAGGCCAAGGGGGCGGCCUAGUGACGGCGGCGCAAAAGGGCAGGGUAUAAACCCUAGCAGAGCUUCUCUGUUAUUUUUUUUUUGAAUCAAAGAGGAAAAUG